rnacentral:lncRNA from 1 species
UCCAGAGUCUCCAAACGCUCAAGGUUCUUGGUUUCCGUUGGUAGUUUACUAAUCCGUGUACCUGCCACGUACAGGGACUCCAGAUUCUGCAGUCUCCCAAUCUCCCGUGGGAGCUCUGUGAUUUGAUGGCACUCGAAGAUACCCAGAUGCUUGAGCCAGAUCAGCCCACAUAUAUCCACCAGAUGAUCAUUCUCUAGACGACUGCUGUUAUGUAUUUGUAGCACUCGCAGCUUUUUGAACGCCUUGAAGGGGAGACCAUCCAGCUGGGAUUGAUAAACGGAAACAACAAGGGAGCGAGUAUGAGACAGCACAUCCUCAUCUGGACAGCGAUCCUCCGUGCUGAGAUAAAGACGACGGAUCUGUUUGGCAUGCGAGGAGUUGCCGGCCCGAUCCUUUGCUUUGCACACGAGGAAGGCUCGCAUAAUGGGGUGAACUGCGUGCAUCUUCCAAUCCCGCUGCAACAGAUUCCUGUAGACAAGCUUGUCAAAGUAAGCUUCUGCUACUUCAACUUGCGAAACAAAUCCUUCAGCAAUCCAUUUUGUCACCAACCAUCCCCUAUAAAUGCUAAAAUAUACCCCUGAGGAUAUAUGGUACAGUAUAGCAAGCAAGUCCUCAGCUGAACGGGAAGAUCGUCGAAACCAAGGCAUAGACUCUGGACCAGUGGUUUCAAGGAUGGAGUACUCAGAAACCCAUCAUCCAGAACGUGACUUGCCCAUGUAUCCCAUUCCUCCUCAUCACCUUGCACAUGGUGACGACAAACAGAUUACUGCUAGCGGACAAAAAUAAAAUGGUGGCCCGCUGCACAUAUCCGCAAUCUUGGUGGACAGCUCCUUCGCGUUGGUUCCCUCGACAGAUUUGCUCAUCAGUAUCAUAGCUGAUAGUCUUUCAGUUCCGCACGACCAAACUCCUGUUCGUACACACGUGCACCAAUUUGUUCACAUUUCCUAGCUAUACUCCUGUCCCGGGUCGUCAUGAUUAAUUUACAGCGCAGAUUAUUCUGGGGAAGAGCCUUACGGAUGACUUCCCAUUCUUCCCAGGGCCAAAUGUCAUCAAUUAUGACCAGGUCCCUACAAAAUAAAAACAAGACCAAAGAAACUUUAUAACAUUUUGGCCAUCUUAUCCCAUGUUACUAUUACAAAUUGAUUGCAAUGUUCAUACUAACAUGACCUACUAAAAAAAGAAUCAUAGAAAUUCCCAUAGACGACAUGCAGCCAUCAAUUUGGUAGUUAGCCUGGAUAACCAUAGGUACUGGGUCUAAUUUGUUUCUAAAUUAUUCAAUUCACGUCUGCCAUUAUAUGAAAGAGAAUAACAACUUUUCAUGCCGUUGCAAUAACGAAACAUUAUAAUCUAUCUACACAUUAUAAUGGCUAUCAAUCACCUGUGACAGUGUCCAAAUCCGUUGAAUCUUUUCCUCUUGCUCUAAAGGUGCUCAUACUCUGAUUAACGUGCACGAAAAACAACCACGAACUCUCUCCUGCCCGCUGCUAUUUUCGCAUCUCCAUCGCAAACCUCUGCGCGCACAGAGCUUGCAAGAGCAGGCCUCCGAAACAUCGUCUUGCUGCUACACUUGCACGAGUAGGCGCCUCCGAAACAUCGUCUUGCUGCUACACUUGCACGAGUAGGCGCCUCCGAAACAUCGUCUUGCUGCUACACUUGCACGAGUAGGCAGGGGAUCAAGUUUUUGGGGAGCGCAUCUCUGCGCGACUGCUCGCUGUGAACGUCUACAUCCUGCUACUUCUCGGAGGAUGUUCGAGGGACUGCACUGCACCAAAUCAUCACUACAUCAACUUUGAUCGACUACAUCGAACAGCCCAAACCGAAGAUUUAGGAACAAUGUCUGAUUCUUACAUUCUGAACCUUCUCUGGUUCUUUUAUUUCAUUUUGUUCAUUAUUAAAUUUGUGUUAACCAUGAACACUCGCACAUGCUCUGAAUCACUCACAAUAUUCAUGAUUUACUUAAUAAUAUUCGGAAUUAAGAUAUACGUAAAUUGUCUAAAUUUCUAACAUAAGCCCCCCAAUUCAACUAAAACGGGCACAUGCCUUUGGUUCUCCCCAUAACCCUAAUGGCAGGCGCUCUAGUCGCAGCAGCAGCAAAUCCCCACCGGCAGCGACCAACCCAUAAACCCUAAACCCUCAUGGUUGUGGAGCACCAAUGGAAUUCCAUGGAAGCACGACAGCGAAAUGGGGAUACGAGGAAGUAGGGGAAGCAGUUGCUACCUCGCGCCGUCGCGGCGACCAUGGCAUCGCGCUCGGAGCUGAAACCGGGAUGGCACGGGCGCCGGUGGUGGGUAGCGCGCGGUGGCCGCCAGUGGGUAGGGCAGGGGUGGCGGAUGGCGACGGCGGAGGCAGAGAGGAGUGGAGUGAAAAAGCAGAGCGGUGAGAGAAAGUGAGACUACGAAGGCCGAGGACCACCUGGUACUUGCAGCCCAAUGAAAACGAGUUAAUUACGCGCCAGCCAUUAUAAAUCCAUUUAUUGCCCUUUGAAAAAUUGGUUGCGCACCCAACUUUUUUAUUGCCCUUGGUGCCAUUUUCGUCACUUCCGUUACUGUAACUUGCCGUUAGAACUCAGAUUUUUAUGGAAAAAAUAGCCAAAGUACCCCUCUUACAGGCGGGGCCUACUCGGAAGGCUCAACGAAAACCAAUAGGUCUUCCCUUCCCAACCUCUGUUCCCACCAUCCUUCUCUCUGGCGCCCCUGAACGGGAGCUCGAUGAGGGGCAAGUGCAGUUUAUUUUAUUUUUUUCUUUGAAAGAGGGAUCGGAUCCGCAGCUUUCCGUGGUGAGCACUAGAGACGGCGAGCUCAUCAGGUGGGGUCAUGGCUGCAAGCAGUGACGAAGUUAGAGCAAAUUAGAGGGGGGUACGCUUGCCUUGUGGGUGUAUAGAGUUGAAAUGUUAUGGAUGCAUAUAUGGUGAAAAAUUGACCUUAAUCAUUGUUUUGCAUUUUUGUUGUGGGUGCAUUUGCACCCCCCUAAUCCUAACGUAGCUUCGCCCCUGGCUGCGAGGCUGGGGAGGUGGCGACGGACCGAGGGAAGCGGCGCUCGGAAGGCUCGAGAAACUUAGAUGUUGUGGUUAGCCUGAUCAAAAUCCAACGGGUUGUAAUAAAAGGGAAUAUAUAUCCCAAAGGGUUAUAAACAAAUGAAUGAUGCACUAGCUGUGUCACUGCACAAGAACACUGGAUAACGAAAGUGUCAAACUAAUGGAUGUAGCACAUGGGGACCGUCAAGCUGUGCACCUAAAUUAAUUUCAUCUGAUGAGGAGGCAGGAAGAAUUACCUGAAACCUUUAAUUUGACCUUUUCGGUACCUCAUGACGAACGAUCUCCUGAGGGCUAGCUUUAACGAAGAAUCCAAGAUCAUUGCGUUUUUUAUCUUUCUAAACGAAUUCGAUCUGGUCUCAGCAGGCUCCAGCGCACUAGAUACAAAUCCGAGAUGGGAGCUCAGCUCUGUCCCAUUCCAUGUCAAGGCAGAGUGCUCUGCAUCAGCAUCUGCACCACCAUUUUCCCUUCCACUCCUGAUGAGUGCAGUGCAGGAUGCUAGGUGUAAUCCGGUCAUGCUUUCCUCGAUCGAGGAGCGCCAUCUUGCAAAUCGAAUAAUCGAUAGACCCAUUCCGAUUAACCAAAGUGCUUAAUUAUCUGAUUGCGACAAGUUGAAUAAUUGCGCUGUCUUUUUUUUAUUAGAUUAGUCUUUUACCAAGGUGCAACGUACUAGCUUGCUUAUAUGGAUCAGUACACAGUAUUUUGAUGAGCAGGUAAAUAUGCAAAACAGAAAAGCAUAGACGCGGCCGCACGCGUCAUCUUCUUCUGCGACCCGGUGCAGAGAGAGUUUCAUUCUUGGAUUGGCGGGUGGCCCUGUUCACUCAGGUGGAGAUGGCCAGGCCCAGGCCCAGGCCCACUUCAUAGGAGAACUUAUUUUGGCCCAUUUCAACUCCUUGUCUCAUCCAAUCCCUCCAACAACAGAUAGGAUUCGCACAUUGCAGCCAUGCCUAGAGCAAAACCAAACAUAAGCCAUUUUUUAAUUUAACCUUUUUAAUAAUAUUUUAAAAACUACCCCUCCAGACAAAUAUUUUCAUCCCGUGACACUUUUGAUCGCGUCAGUCCGUGUGUCACAACAAGAUAACACUAUCACGCAAUAUGCAUUGGUGUGAUGAGCCUGCCAUGCUAACAAGGGGAGAUGACAUGAACUCCUCUUGUCACGCCAACGCAUGCGGCGCGAGAACAUGAUUCUGCCACGCCAACUUGCCUCGGUGAUGAGUGGCAUGUACAAUUCAAUUUAUCCAAUUUGACCAUCUAAAUAAAAAAGUAUUUCAACAUUAAAUUCUACGAAACUCGGCAUGCACGGUGUAUAUGGUGUGGACGUUCCAUUUUAGUAACAUGCACAAUGCAAAGUGCCAUAUAUUUUGAAAUUUUUAAUUUCAAAGUAGGCUUAUAUCCCACUUAGGGUUCUAGUUAAAUAAACCUACUUGGGAGCAUCUCAAUAAAAUAGCGUUUGAACUUUGAAUGUGAAGCACACUAUAUAGGGUAUAGUGUAAAGGUCCCAUUUUACUAAUAUUUAUAAGAUCAAAUGCUACAUAUUUUGAAAUACAUAAUUUAAAUGUAAGUUAUUUAUUGUCCCUCUAUCCCUCUUAGAACAGCUUCCAAGUGUUAAAUAAAUUCACUUUGAUUUUUUCUUUCCUUAGUUUAUUACUUAAUGAACUUUAAAUAUUCUAAAACUCUAUUUAAUACGGAAGCAAAUAAUUAACAGAACUGAAUUACUAGCGUGAAUCAUACUCAUAUGGCAACUUUUAUCUGAAAAAAUGUUGGAAUGAUUGGAUGGAUUAGUUGCUAGGAGUGUUCAGUGUGCGCAUGCAUGGUGCAAGCUUGGACUGCAUGUGACGAAGAGAAACUAAACUGGAAAAAUAAUCAUAAUCAAGUGUGCGUACAGAUAAUGUCACAUAGAGUCAUGGAGAAGGAAGGUCCGAAUUUGAUAAAUAGUUAUAGUAGCGCAAUUGUUCCCUCAAUCGUCGUUCCCUGAUUUCAAGAUUGCGUUUCCUUUCUUGAAUUUCCUUUUCAAUUCCAGCCCUUGCGUUGUUUUUGUCCCGCUGAGCUCGCCCCUCUGCUGCCGUCGAUAGUCGAAGACGUUGUUCCUCAAUGCGUUUUUGUUUCCGCAUUUUCUCAACUACUUUUUCCCUUUUCUCAAUUUCUUUUUCCCAUUCUUCAAAUUCACCGCUGCGGAAAACCUUACAUUCCAUUUUAUUGACCCAAAGGGUGAUCUUGUUGGGGUGCUCCGCGGCUUCAUUUCUCAGUACAUCAAUUGCCUCGCAGAUGCCCGGACUGUCACUUGUAUAGUACUCGGAGGAUCGGAACACGACCUCCUCAAGACUGUCGAGAUGCUUGAUGCCCAUGUAGUAGUCUUGACUUGCUGUGCCGGUGUAGAACUUGAACUCAAGAUGUUUCAGCUUCGGCAUCGCUCCUUCCCCGAAGGUGAUCACCCGUGGCAGACGGCAAUCAACGUAGAACGUCUCCAGCUUUGAGAACCCUCCAUCAGUGAUGGCAACCGGCUCCUGUGGGAGGACCUCGAACCUGAGUUGGAGAGCCUGCAGGUUGGGCAUAUGCAUCUUCAGAAACUUGAGGUCUUCGUGCACAAGUUUGUAGAUCCUGAUAUCUAAGGAGCAGACAUUGCACAAGUCUUGCUUGACCCACUGCGGGACUUUCAUGUGUCUCCCGGCAACUCUAAGCAUCCUAACUGGUAGGACUUCACACCUCAAGCCGAAAUGGUUAAAGAGGAUGAGGAUGGAUAGGUCAUCCCUGCAGUUUGCUUCAGAAGAGGAACUAAUAACCUCUUCAGCACCACUUGAGCUAAUAACACCCAGAGGUGACAUCAACUUGUGCAUAUUAAGAACCACACGUAAUAACGGAUUCGUGUCUUUACUGCAGGAUAGCUCUCGGACAUUAGUACCUCUUAUGUCCAGAGUCCUCAGAUGCUGUAGUUGCCCGAUUUCCUUAGGCAACUCUCUCACCAGUGUCUCACUUAUAUCCAGAGUCUCCAAACGCUCAAGGUUCUUGAUUUCCAGUGGUAGCUUCGUGACCUUUGUGCUACUUACAUCCAGAGUCUUCAAAGAUUGCAAUUUCUCGAUCCACCUAGGCAGCUCAGUGACCUUUGUGCGACUUACAUCCAGAGUCUCCAAACGCUCAAGGUUCUUGAUUUCCCUUGGUAGCUCCGCGACCUCUGUGCAAUGUACAUCCAGAGUCUUCAAACGCUCAAGGUUCUUGAUUUCCCUUGGUAGCUCCGCGACCUCUGUGCAACUUACAUCCAGAGUCUCCAAACGCUCAAGGUUCUUGAUUUCCCUUGGUAGCUCCGUGACCUGUGUGCCACUUACAUCCAGAGUCUUCAAAUAUUGCAAUUUCUCGAUCCACGUCAGCUCCGUGACCUCUGUGUCACUUACAUCCAGAGUCUUCAAAGAUUGCAAUUUCUCCAUCGACGUAGGCAGCUCUGUGACCUCUGUGCCACAUACAUUCAGAGUCUCUAAGUGCUGCAGUUUCCCAAUUUCCGUUGGUAGUUUACUAAUCCCUGUACCUGCCACGUCCAGGGUCUCCAGAUUCUGCAGUCUCCCAAUCUCCCGUGGGAGCUCUGUGAUUUGAUAGCAGCUCUUAAUAACCAGACACUUGAGCCAGAUCAGCCCACAUAUAUCCACCAUAUCACCAUUCUGUGCACAAUCGCUGCGAUAUAUUUCUAGCACUCGCAGCUUUUUGAUCGCCUUGAAGGGGACAUCCAGCACAUCCUCAUCAUGACCACAAACAACAAGGGAGCGAGUAUGAGACAGCACAUCCUCAUCCAGCACAUCCUCAUCAUCCGUGCUGAGAGAAAGACGACGGAUCACCCCCUUCCGCUGAUUCCCGUCGUAAGCAAUAAAAUUAUCUUCCUUUGCUUUGCACACGAGGAAGGCUCGCAUAAUGGGGUGAACUGCGUGCAUCCCCAUGUGCCGCUGCAACAGAUUCCUGGAGAAAAGCUUGUCGAAGUAAGCUUCUGCUGCUUCAACUUGCGAAACAAAUCCUUCAGCAAUCCAUUUUCUCACCAUGCAUCCCUUAUCAAACCUGUACCGCCGAGGAUAUAUGGUACAGUAUAGCAAGCAAGUCCUCAGCUGAACGGGAAGAUCGUCGAAACCAAGGCAUAGACUCUGGACCAGUGGUUUCAAGGAUGGAGUACUCAGAAACCCAUCAUCCAGAAUGUGCCUCGCCCAUGUAUUAAAUUCCCGAUGAUGUUGUCUCUCUGCUGCCCAUGCUGACGACAAACAGAUUACUGCUAGCGGACAAACAUCAAAUGGUGCCCCGCCGCACAUACCCGGAAUCUCAUAAUUGUUAGUGGACAGCGCCUUCGCACGACCAAACUUCCGCCUCCGCACGACAUAUUUGUUCAGUCUCAUAGCUGAUAGUCUUCCAGCUUCCGCAAUACCAAACUCCUGUUCGUACACACGUGCACCUUGUUCAGUUUCACAUUUCUCAGCUAUACUCCUGACCCGGGUCGUCAUUAUUAAUUUACAGCCCAGAUUAUUCUUGGGAAGAGCCUUACGGAUGACUUUCCAUUCUUCCCAGUCCCAAAUGUCAUCUAAUAUGACCAGGUAUCUACAAAAAAAACAAGACCAAAGAAACUUUAACAUUUGGGCGAUCUUAUCCCAUGUAACUAUUACUAAUUGAUUGGAAUGUUCAUACUCACAUGACCUACUAGAAAAACAUAAUCCUAGAAAUUCCCAAAGACACGCAGCCAUCAAUUUGGUAGUUAGCCUGGAUAACCAUGGGCACCGGGUCUAAUUUGUUUCUAAAUUAUUCAAUUCACGUCUUCCAUUAUAUGAAAGAGAAUAACAACUUUUCAUGCCAUUGCAAUAACGAAAAAGUUCAAAUUACUCCCUUCAAGUAUGGCCGAAGUCUAGAUAACCCCAAUAAACUUUUUGUUGGUUUAUUUUACACCUAGAACUAUGCCAAUUGGUUCAAUUUAUCCUUAUAAGAUUUGUCUUGCUAAGGGGUAAAUUGGACCAAUUAACAUAGUUGUAGGUGUAAAAUGAACAAAAAUAGUUUAGGGGUUAUCAGGACUGGGGGCAUACUUGAGGGAAGUAAUUUGGAAAUUUUCCUUACAUUAACAAAAAAUGAAAUGUAUCGUCUUGAAUCCAGAUUUUAGUAACAGACAAAGAGAUGGAUUGGAAUUAGAUUACACCAAAAGCUAGGUUUUCAAACUAACAUGUACCGCCUAUGGUUUUUCUUGCAAUAUUAUUGGUAGGCAAGAAUGAAUUGGGAAGUCAAAAUCUAGAUUUGUCAAGUCACGACAGAUAGUGUGGGGGCUGCCCCUAAAAGAGAUCCCGAAUGUCAUUCAUAUUAUUCCCUAGAUCAGUAGAUGAUACGGGCAUUUAUCAUAAGAAGUAUCAUAGCCAUACUUCGUACAGCUUUUAUUGAUAUUUUACAUAAGGUUACAAAAGAGAAACAAAGUGCAUACCACUAAGGGUAGCCUCAUAGUAGCUAUACAACAGAGUUCUACGUAGUAUACUAGUACUGCCAAGUCCACAUGCAACUUGGCUCCUAAGGUUGAUCCCAAGAUCCUCAUCGUCUUCAACAACUAUUUCUUCCUCUAUAGAAAGAAAGCAGUAAAGCAAGUAGAGUACUCAGCAAAUCCCACUGUUGUAGAGUUAUUUCAUGUUGUUUUUUCAUGAAGGGCUCUGGUUUGAUAUUUGCCGCAAAGCCUUUUUUAUGCGGGGUGAAAGGUUUUAGCUUUUAAAAGGAAUAUAGGACAUUUAGCAAUAGUUUGUUGAUCUUGGGAAGCGGGAAACUACAUCCCUUCCGGUCCCGUAUUUUAUUUAGCACCAGGAUCCGUGAGGGACUUCCUGAGCUAGCUUUGCCUUAUUUAGAAACAACUCCUCAGGCUAAGGCCGGCGACUCAAGAUUUUUCAUAAAAACAAUGUUAUGACUAAUCAAUGGGCUUGACCAAGUGGGGUCAUAUCUAUGAGCCUCGGCUAUCCAGAUACAUCCUGAGAAAAUAGAUGCAUCAUAAAUGUGGUAUACAAUACCACCAGGCCACUCUGGACCUCAACCUAUGACACGUGUCAACCAGACCUAGGACAAAGUGAAGGUCAUGUUCCAGUCUACCCAUUGCCCACCAUGAUCCCUUGGGGUGGUUCACUAAGUUCAGUUGGUGGGGUGCAAAUCAAGGCCUCACAUUGAUAGCUACUCCCGAGGGUUGUACCUUUUCGACGCGUGUGGUUGUACGAUUCACCAGAUAGACUUGCCCAUGAACCGGUCCUUAUAUGACCAGAGUAAGCUUUUUGGAUAGGAUCCUCCAUCGAGGCUACCCUCUUACUCUCGUGUCUAGACUUAUCUAGUUGCUAGACUUGUUAGUUAUUUUUAUCUAAUUUUCAAAGCACUCACGCCUUUUCGUAUUUUGUAAACCCUUGAAUGACUCCAUAAGUAGUUCCUAGGCGUGGAGGGAGUAUGAGAACCGCCUCCCGGACACCUAGGUAAAUUGGCUGGCUGCCGAACGCAGCUUUCGACACCUUCCCAUCUUCACCGCCAUUGCGGCCGUGCACAAGGCAGACCAAGAUGAUGGUCUCUGGCGGUUGGCGAUCUAGGGUACGAGCGCAGCUUGGAGGACAAGGAAGCCACGCCUUCCUUUCCUCCCGAGGCAGUGCUUCCGCCUUCUCACCAAGCCUUCUGUGGCACGACAGGCCCACAUUACGAGGGCUCUUCUUGCAGUUUAGCCUCCGAACGUGACGUGAGGGACUGUGGUCGGAAGGUGGAAUGCCUGUUACGAGAGUUCCUCUGGCAGUCAUGCGGAGCGGCCAAAGCCACCAAGGGCAAAGAGCAGAAGUCUCAAACCUACCGGAUCUACAACUUGAGCCAUGGGAUCUACAUCCUGAGCCAUGGGACUCCGGAUGCGAAAACCCCCCUAUUUAUAGCCCGGCGAAUGGCCACGAUCCAAGAGCGAUUUACAUCUGUGCCCAUGGACGCGAGGUAAAGGCACCUGACAUCGAGGCAACCUUUUAGCUACCCUUCGUUAAAGGCGCCGUGCCUUGAAACGAUAGUUCGGCUAUCGUAUGUCGAAAAUCGAGGGGAACGUACUGGGCCACUAGGCGCCGGUACCCUUUCACGCGGGCUUCAUCAUUAUCAUCUUGGGUACGAGGCCAACCCCCUCAAUGUGGUUUGACCGCUUCUCACAUGAGACAAAAACACCUCACACCCUUGGGUGUCUCCCCGCAAUGGAACAUUCCAACCGACAGCCCCUUCGCGGCUUCAACAAAGCCCCAAAUGAACUCGGGGGCUCCUGAUGGGUCCAUAGACCCAGUGUCCCCAAUGGGACUGUUUCCUGCUAGACUUAGCCCAACAGAGGGCACAUCGACACCGAGUAUUUGGGCCAGCCCGGCUGCGCACAACCAGGGCAAGAUCACGGCCUAGUCACCAACCUCCUCCGACCAGGAGGUAUGGCCAGCGCUCCGAUCGGAAGAGGCUUGCCAGAGGUGGGGCCACAGUCCGACCCCGACCAGGUACUCCCGACCAGGUUCUCCUGACUGGGGGCUCUCGACUUGGUUCCCCGACCAAGUCUCCACCGUACCACAUACGCUGACCUCCGACCAGGGACAGCCACCUGGAGUGGGCUCGGGGAUCAGGUGGGACGGAUAACGAGACAAGCCCCGAGUCAGCUGGCUGUGCACAAGACCGUACCGCACCACGCCCUACGCACGUCCGCACAGUGAUGCUAUAUAUCUACUUGUAGCGUGAUGAUCUGACGAGGAGAACAGAGACCGAGGACGGAGACCAUACCAUAUCCACCGACAAGGGAUUCAACGAGACUAGACAGCGCCCAUACAUCCUUUCUUUUAUCUUCUCCCAUCCUGUAAGGCCGUCCCCCUUGAAGUAUAAAAGGGGCGGACCCUCUCUCUAUAGGACACACAAUUCUGAACUCUCACACGCCCCAGCUUAGGUUAUGCACUCCCUAGCUCACACAUUGCUCUUCACGCUCGUGUAACACCCAAAUUUUUGAAGAAUUCAAAUUCAUUAAAAUUUGCUCAAAUUAGGGUGUCAUUUAAAUUCUAGGCAUUUAAUUUCAUUUUCUUUAAUUUAAUUAAUUCAUCAUAGGAGUUAAUUGUGCAUUCAUGCUGGAGCAUAAUUUUUGAUUGUUGGAGUUUGAACCAAAAUUUGAAUUCCACAAUUUAAAUUCAAUUUCCAAAACCUUUUCCUUUCUCUUUUUCUUUUUCUUUUUUUCUUCUUCUCCUCCUGGGCCGCAUCUCUCCUUCCUUUCUCUUCUUCUUUUUCAUUCGGCCCAGCGCCUCUUCCCUUUCGGCAGCCCAGCACCACCGCUCCCCCUCCCCGCGUGGCCCAGCCGCAGCAGCUCCGCCGACCCCCUCCUCUUUCUCCUUUGCCGGCCCAGCUCCCGUCACCCCCGCGGCCUGCCGCUCGCCCUCUUCUCCGCGGCCAGCGAACCGCGCGCCAGCCCACAGCCGCUACGGCCCGCCUACCACCCACCAUCGUCUCCCACCUCCGGCCGGACUCUCCUCCGCCCACAACCGCCGCGCGAGAUCUCCAGGUGGGCGCCGUCUUCCCCGACCGGUUUGAAUCCGGGGCCGCCCUAUCUCCAAGCCAUCCGUCCCUAUUUAAGCCGCCACCCCCCCUGCCACGAGCACCCGCGCCAGCACCCCCCAAAACCCUAGCUGCCGCAAGCUCUUGUGCCGCCGCCUCUCUCCGCCGCACAUCGCCGCCAAAAGGUGAGCGCCGCCGCGCCGUGGCUCCCGCCAAGUCCCUAAACGGGUUCCCCGUGUUCCCCGCUCUCUUCUGGUGCCUUCCGCGCGCAAAACUGAGCCCCGUGGUGUUGUUUCGGCCAACUCCGGCGACCCCGCCGCCACUCGCCGCCGGCACCGCAAUGUCGUCGAUGACCGCGACCGUCGGAUCUUGAUCCGACGGCUCGUAGCGGGUCAAUCCGACCGCAUAACGGUCAACCGCGCCGUGCCGCGCCGCUUUUGCUCUUAAGCCCCCGCCUUUUCCGCAAAUCAACCCGCGGUCCAGAUCGCGUUGAAAAUAUUCACAGAUCUGCCCUCGCACUUUUCGGUUUAACCCUUGAUCUUUCUAAAAAUCAACCCACCGUCCGAUUUGGAGUUUUUGCGCGUUAGACCUUCGGUUUAUACGUGUAAUUACGUAUAAGCCCUCGGUUUUCGCGGUUUGGCCCUAAAAGUUUUGUUUUUCUCACAGAAAAGCCCCUGGAUCUUAUUUUAAACAUAUCUUUUGCAUCUUAACUCCGUUUUUCGCGUUCUUUAUAUCCACGUGUUCGUUUUAAAGCGUAGAUCAACUUUUCAAGCUUGUUUUCUCUGUUUAAGUGUGAUUGGUGUACUGUUUCUUACCUUUUGCCCAUGUUUGCUUGUAUGUGCCCGUGUGACACGUGUAGACGUCCCGCAGUUCGAGGGAGUUGAAGACCAAGACUUCGAGGAGUACGAACAGCAGGAGCAAGGCCAAGAAGGUAAGUCGUGUCCUUGAUCACAACUUUUCGUCCUAUACACCUUUACUUUCUCGUACUCAACAUUUAUGCUAUGCACAUGUUAAGAUUAAAUUGAUGGGUCCCAAUUAAGGAUCACCUAGAUUGAUUUACCUUUACCUUGACCAACCGGUUUACUUUAUGUUGGGUAGCUCAUGCUUAGUGCUUACUUGGUAUGGUGGUUUAACUAAACACGAUGUUUAAUCUUGCUUUACUUCUGUUAUACCUUUCAUUAAUACAAGAUCAUGUAUUAUUAAUCGGAACAUGGAGCGACCACCCAGGAAAAUAGUGCUACCGCAAGACUAAAUGACUCUGGUCUUGGCUGAAUAAUUAGAAACCUUAGUCUGGGGUGACCUUACUCGUGAUGAGGCAAGAGGGGGGACUGAGUCGUUGCAUUUUUACCUGGGAUGGGUGGUGCACGCCAGACACCGAAACCUUAGCGGGUUACCACUGACUAAUGAAUCUUUGUAAAGGCCUCGUAGCGUCCCUAUGCAAUCACACCUCGGAAGUGUGGUAUGGUGCCUUGCAAACACCGCAUGGUUGGGUCGAAAGUUCUUUUGAACUUUUACGUGACUUGUGGGUAAAGAUGUGCCACCUCUGCAGAGUGUAAAACUGAUCGAUCAGCCAUGCUCACGGUUAAGAGCGGCCUGGACACUCACAUGAUAAUAUUAUCGGAAGAUGGAUUUAAUUUGUUGUCAUUUCAUUCAUAUGUUGUUUACUUUAUUUAUGAUCAUGUUUAAUUUCGGGUGGUAUGAACUUAUACUUAGUGAAUUGCUAAUAAAACUUGACCAACUUAAUUAAAAGCGAAUGCUAAUUAUGCCUUAGUCGUACCUUGAUUUGCCUUACACUACACUAUUCCCCACGACUUGUUGAGUACCAACCAUAAGUGUACUCACCCUUGCAAAACCGCUGUUCAGACCAAGCUAUUUGGGAGGAGGAGUAUCUACACGACUUUGAGGAGUUCUAGGCGUACGUUUCUUCAGUCAGCUGCCUGUGGAGUCGUCGUCGUCUUUGGAGUUCCGCUGCGUAAUAAAUUAGGCUUUCGUUUUAUUGAGACUUUCGGUCAUGUAAUAAUGUUUAAUACUCUCUUUAUUCGCUUUAGCACUGUCUUUGUUAUUCACUAUUGUCGUACAUGUGUGUAACUUGAUCCUGGCGCACAUGUAUUUAAUGCACUCGGUUUUGUCCUUAAAAUCAGGUGUGACAGCUCCACACUUGUGAUGCACUCCACUCCCAGCACUUAGCGCACGUCUGGGCUCCGGCCAGGCUAGGGCUCAGGCACCCCUCUUCUUCCUCCUCUCAUUUGUACCCUCACUGCAAACUUUGAGCACUUGGGCUCAAAAAUAAAGUCAAAAACCGACCUCCUAACUAGACAUAGGGCACAUUGUCCGAACCAGUAUAGAUCCUAUGUCAUUGUGUGCUAGGCCAUAUCCGAUUAACACACGGCAAAACUACAUAUACAUAUAAUUAUUCAUCGGUUAGAUUUCGCACCGACAAGUACUCCAUAAAACCUUCACAUAAUCAUAUAGGAGGAAAUAAAAAUAACAUGGUGCAACUGAUAAAAACAAAGAAGUUUGAUCGGAUACUUGGUCAAUAAUGCAACAUUGGUCACCUCUGAAUUAUUGUUAAAUUAUAUGCAUUUCACAAAGUUCAAUUGUCUUUGGAUUUUCCAAAAUAAUGCAAAUAAGAGCGGACGCACUGGUUGUGGAACUAGCGUUGCCAACAUAAUAUGAUUUUGUUCAGAAUAGUACACUAACAAAUACAUACGUGGGCCAUGUUUAGUUACCUCCCAACUCCCAACUUUGAUACUAUGCAAAAAGAAGAUUCCCCAUCAUAUCAAACUUGCGGUAUAUGCAUGGAGUACUAAAUGUAGACGAAAUUAAAAACUAAUUGCACAGUUUUGUUGUACUUUGCGAGACGAAUCUUUUGAGCCUAAUUAGUCAAUAUUUGAACAAUAAUUUACAAAUACAAACGAAACGCUACAGUGUGCUACAGUGCUGGCACAGUAAUUUUGCAUCUUCCAAUUUGGCCAACUAAACAAGGCCGUGGUAUUUAGGAACGGAUCAGGAAGUAGAGUGGGAAUGGAGACGACGUACCUCUUGUCAGAGAGGAAAUUUGAUAUGCCUUUGAUGAAAUCAUUUUGCUCGGCUGCAGGUUCAGUGCCACUGCUAGCAGAAAGAAAAUUAGGAAAUUUGAAUUGAAUUGGUCAAUAAUGCCACAUCGGUCAGUUACAAAUGCUAAAUUAUAGGCAUUUUACGAAGUUCAAUUAUUAUCUAUAUGGAUUCUCAAAAAAUAAUGCAAAUAUGUGCGGACGCAUGCACGAGUUUUGGAACUAGCGUUCCAAUUUCCUAACAUAGUAUGAUUUGUUCAAAAUAGUAGAAUAACACACACGGAGUACUUAGGAACACAAUCAGGAAUGAAGUAGAGUGAGAAUGGAGAGGUCGUACCUCUUCUCAGAGAGGGAAAUUGAUAUGUCGGUGACCAUAUUUUGUUCGGCUGCAGGUUCGGUGCCACUGCCAGCAGACAUUGCACAAUCUGUUACUUGGCUGAGGAUGAUACCCAGAAUCUCCGUCAUGUUAGGACUUGGGUGCACGGACACGAAAGCCCGGCAUUGGAAUUCAUCUCCUACUGCGUGAUACACCAGGUCCGCAAGAGUUGUUUUCCCCAUCCCUCCAGCUCCAAGAAUGCAUACCAUUUCGUUCUUCUGAAGCAAUUGGAUGAUCUCCUUCUUUUUUGGUUCCAUGCCCACGAGCUCCGAUGCAUCCUUGUGGAGGAAGAGAGCUCGAGGGUCGGUGGUCAGCUUGCUACGGUUGCAGAUGAUGCCGUCGCCAAUCUUCUGCAUCUCGCCGCACCGCUUCGAUACAUCUUUGACCCUUUCCAUGAAUUCCAUGAAAGGGCUGUCCGUGGCUUCCCGCUGGAUGAAGCUGCCGUCACCACGCUCCAAUCCGAGAGUGAAGCCGUCGAUGUCGUCCUCCAUGUCGUAGGACAGCUCUCGGGCCUCUGUCAUCCAGUUCUUGCAUGCCACAUCAAGAUCCAAGCUCCCCCAUAACUUCCACAGGAGAUGGUGAACUGGCUCGAGCUCGGAUUUGAUGGACUCGAUGCCUCGCCGGGUUCCCUCCUGAAGCUUGUACUCAUCACCCAGCAAAGCAGCGAGCUUCACCAGGACCGGCCCCAACGCCCCGGUUGCUGCGGUCACGGCAAACCGCUUCUCCAUCUCUCUCGCACUCUCUAUGCACAAGCGAAUGGCAGGAGCAGGCUUUCUGUGUAGUGGAGCACUCUCUUUACCUGUGAAAAGUUAAGGGUAUGUUCGGCUUCAGAGCUAAACUUUAGCCCCUAUCACAUUGGAUGUUUGGAUACUAAUUAGGAGUAUUAGGCUAAUUACAAAACUACUUGCACAGAUGGAGACUAAUUCACGAUACGAAUCUAUUAAGCCUAAUUAGUCCAUGAUUUGACAAUGUGGUACUAUAGUAACCAUUUGAUAAUGAUGGAUUAAUUAUGCUUAAUAGAUUCGUCUCGCGAAUUAGCAUCCAUUUGUGUAAUUAAUUUUAUAAUUAUCUCAUGUUAAUCCUCCUAAUUAGCCUCCGAAUAUUCGAUGUGAUAGGAAUUUUAGGGCCCCGUUUGGUUCAAAUGGAAUAAAGUUUAGUCAUGUCACAUCGAAUGUUUAGAUACUAAUUAGGAGUAUUAAACAUAGACUAUUUACAAACCUAUUGCACAGAUGGAGGCUAAAUGGCAAGACAAAUCUAUUAAACUUAAUUAGUCCAUGAUUUGAGAAUGUGCUGCUAUGAAAAUAUGCUGCUAUAAUAACCAUUUGCUAAUGAUGGAUUAAUUAUGCUUAAUAGAUUCGUCUCGCCGUUCAACCACCAUAUGUGUAAUUAGUUUUAUAAUUAACUUAUAUUUAAUCUUUCUAAUUAGCUUCCGAACAUUCGAUGUGACACGGACUAAAUUUUAGCUCAAGAAAUCAAACACCCGCGUGCAAACAUCCUAAUCAUGGAGUAAUGGUAUUACUUUCAGCACGCUACUUGCACUGCAGAAGGCAAUAAUGGCAGACGCAAUAAUGGAGGGAUAAGGUGCCGGUGGACGAUUGUGACCACGCAGCCACCGAGUCAAGUCGUCGGCCCCACCAAAGCAUGUCAGCUGUAGACAGUACAGUAGACCACUCGUCCAAUAAUGUAUCUUUUGGCAUGAUUCACCAAGUUCGUAGGAUCCACCUAGGAAAAGCUAUUAUAUUCAACAAUUUGAAUAAAUCGUUUCAUCUCUCAAUUUGUUGUGUUGCCAACGGCUUUUUUACCGUACAGGAAGGAUGGGGGUGACGUGAUGGCAGCAGCCGGCGCAGCGCGAGCAGGCCAGGGGGAAACGGAACGGAACGGAAACCUAGGGCGCGCUGCUUGCUCUGCAGCAGCAUUUGGCUUGCAGAUGACUAUGGCUUGUGAGCGGCCGUAGCUAGCUUCACUGUGCGCCGCGUCACCCCGUACGGAUCGCCGGGGCAGCUGCCUACCGUCCAUCUCCGAGCCCGGCCCGGGCGGCGAUGCUGGACCCACGCGCAGCGACGCGGCCUCUCUCCUCGCUAGCUAGCUCACUGUGGCACUGUGCAGUCACGGAAGGAGCCGCCGCCCGCUCUUCUGCACUGCACAAGGCAAUAAUGGCAGACGGCAAUAAUGGAGGGACAGGGUGCAGGUGGUCGAUAGUGACCGCGCUGCCACCGAGUCAAGUCGCCGGCACUGUGCUGCGAGCUGCACUCGCAUCAAUAAUGGCAUAGCAUGUGCUGCAAUAAUUAGGGGCUUGUUUGGUUGAACUGGAGUAGUCCAGCCUGUGCACCAGCCGGCCUAGCUCGCACCAGCCAGCUGGCUCCCAAGAGCUAAACCCAUUACAUGCAAGAGCAUGGUAGUUGUUUGCCUGCUCGCACCAGCUAAGCUCUUCCGAGAAAUUGUUUGGUUAAUUGGAUGAGGACGAGUUGCAUGAGAUGAGAAUAUAUAAAUAAUCAUCGUAAUGACAUUUAUUACGGGGAAACUAUUAUCUUAUAGCUCUUAGUUUAUCUUAUUACUCCUUAAUAUUAAUCGAAAUAUGUUAAUAUCAUUUAAUAUGCGCUAACAAUGUAUUAAUAACGUCAUUAGAUGGCUAAUUAACUGCACCACGCGAGCCUGGCCCGGCAGAAACGGCCAAUUUCCUUGCACCGGCGGAGCCUGGCUGCGGAGGGAAUCUUGCACGCGCGGAGCUUGGCCGAGCAGAUACGCAAACCAAAUAAACAGGGAAUCUUGCACCGGCAGAGCCUGGCUGAGGGCUGAUAUAGGCAACCAAACACCCCCUAGAUAGAUUUGUAAUUAAGAAAACAUAAUAGAUCCAAGAUGAUUAUUAUCAGUAUGAUUAGAGUGCACUAGAGUGAUGAUUAGAGAGCCAUGCACAAGGCAAUAAUUAGAUUAUUAUCAGCAUGAUUAGAGUGCACUACAGCAAUAAUGGCUGAUGAUUAUGGGGCAUUUGGAUUUUCAGUUCAAACUAAAAAUUCAUAUCACAUUGAAUAUUCGAAGUCUAAUUAUGAGAACUAAACAUGAGCUAAUUAUAAAAGAGCAACGGGCCAAAGAUUCAGGACGACAGCCUGCAAGUGCCACUAUUGAAGGAUAAAAAACGCGCGGGCAGCAAGGCACCAGCAGUUGUUCUAGGUGAGCAACCCUCUCCACGUUCAAUUCUACCCUUUUUACAAAUAAAAUUCUAGUUUUACUGCGAUAAUUUACAAUAACAAAAUCUAAGAAACAAUAAUAUUAUUAUAUUCUGACAUGUACUAAUUACCGGAUGCUUGCCUUUGCUGCGUGCAGGGUUCGAGUGCCUGGAGAGCACAGGGUUCUUUGGCAUCUCCACGAACCUGGGGCCUGUUCGCUUCAGCUUAUAAGCCGGCUGAAAAGCUGAAACGGCUAAUUUGUUGUGAGAAGAAAAUACUGUUUGGUGGCUGAUAAACCGGAUGAAUAAGCUGAAGCGAACAGGCUCCUGGUCGUGUACCUGGAGAAAAUCCUCCACGGCAGCAACCUGGCCAGCGCCUCCAAAGUCACUACGUGGACCGGCACCAGCUACCUGACCCCGAUCUUCGGCGCCAUCAUCGCCGACACCUUCUUGGGCCACUACAACACCAUCCUCAUCUCCCUCGUCGUCUACCUUCUUGUAAGUCGUAGAUCGUUCAUGUUGAUCCAUGGCCCAUGGCACGCGAUUACACAGAUGGAGGGUUAAUUCGUGAGACGAAUCUAUUAAGCCUAAUUAAUUCAUCAUUAGCACAUAUUUACUGUAGCAUCAUAUUGUCAAAUCAUAGAGUAAUUAGGCUUAAUAGAUUCAUCUCGCAAAUUAGCCUCCAUACGUGCAAUUGGUUUUGUAAUUAGGCGCCGUUUGGAUACAUAGUGCUAAACUUUAGCACAACAGUUUUAGCACACUUUUAGCACUUGUGCAUCCAAAUAUGUGUGCUAAAAGUGGUGUGCUAAAGUUUAGCAUACCCCUUUUCAUUAGCACACCUAAGGGGUGCUAAAAUCUGCUAAUAGUGCUAAAAGUGGUCCCUAAGUCCACUUUUUCCAUGGUUGUCCCCUCUCUCUCCUCUCCAUUUUCCCCCAAGUCAGCCAUAAAUGAGGGUAAUGUAGUCAUUUCUCACCUAAGGUGCUGAACUUUAGCACUGUAUCCAAACAGCUCCAAGUGCUAAACUUUAGCACUUCAUUUGAGAGUACUAAAGUUUAGUACUGUGCUAAAGUUUAGCACUGUGUAUCUAAACGAGACCUUAAACUAUGUUUAAUGCUCCUAAUUAGUAUCUAAACAUUCGGGCCCUGUUCGCUUCAGCUUGUAAGCCGGCUGAAAAGCUGAAACAGCUGAUUUGUUGUGAGAGGAAAACAUUGUUCAGUGACUGAUAAGCCGGCUGGAUAAGAUGAAGCGAAUAGGUCCUAGAUGUGAUAGGAAUUUUAAGAGGUUCUAAAUAUUAUUAUCAGUACGAUUAGAGUGCCCUGCACAAGGUAAUAAUGGCAGACGAUUAUAAUAACUAGAUUAUUAUCAGUACGAUUAGAGUGCACUGCACAAGGCAAUAAUAGCAGACGAUUAUAAUAAGUUUUUAGCGUGUCACACCUGCAAAGAAAGGCUCCGUAGUGGAAGCGAACCGGCCGUUUAACCACACCCGUCCUGCGCCGCGAACCGUUCCCCCCUAGACGCUUUGCAGCAGGUCCGCCCUCCGCCGCCGAAUUCGAUUUCCAGCUAUGGGGCUUUCGUUGCGCAGGUGCCUCUUGCUUGUCCCAUCAAUGGCUCGCUCCUUCACUUGUUUGAUUCUUUUCCCCGAUAGGUUCUUGUUUCCUUGACAUGGUAGUCGAUGACCCGUAUGGUUUUCUUUCCCGCACAGAUCGAUUUACCCCUGCUGGGUCUUGAAGGAUAAAUAUUGAGUCUUGUAGGAGCCUGCCAUAAGUGAUGGCAUGAUAGGAUGUUGAUCUAAACCUUUUUAUAUACGGAGGAAAACAUCCUGAGUCGAAGGAACCAUUUAACCACACCUUGGUCCUGCGCGGCUGCAUGCGCCGCAAGCUGUUCCCCCUUGGACCUCGACGCUUGCCGUCCGCCCCCCUCGGUUUCCAGCUACGGGGGCUUUCGUCAAGCAGGUGACUCUUUAGCUCCAUCUCUGGUUCCUCCACUUCUUUGAUUCUUUGGGGCGAUAGCUUCUUGUUUCCUUUUUUUUUAUGAAAAGCUUCUUGUUUCCUUGCCAUGGUAGUAUAAUAUGCGCUGAUGCCUGGUGAACAAGAACAACCUUUUUCCCUGAUGAACUCGGUUUUAUUGAACUAAUGUAUGCUGAAAAGACAGCAUCCAGCUAGAUUGAUUUCAGUUUUGAUAAGCCAUCUUGUUUUUUCGAGAAAAAAAUUGGGAUGCCAUCUAAUUCGAAUCAGUUAGUAGUUUUAUCCCCAGUAGCAAAGGAGGUGGCGAGGGUCUGGGGUUACUAUAUUUAAUUUGGUUGACUUUGCGUUCAGUUAACAGGAGAAUUUGAUGACCCUAGGGAAGUCUUUGAAGUUGUCAACCGAUCCACAUAUUCUCCAAGAUCUUCAACCGAGGGAAGCCUUUGUUCCAGAACCUGCUGUGAACACCGUAUAUAAGAAACAAGAUCUGCACUCGCUGCGAGAUGGCACAUGUGCUGUCAAUGCUAUGUAAUUGAAGGCGGUUGUUAAGAUACUCCGUCUACGGUUGCCGGUGUUUUUUAAGAGUUUUUUUAACGUGUCACACUCUACAAAGAAAAGCUCCGUAGUGGAAGCGAAGCGUCCCCCCCUAGACCCUUUGCAGGUCCGCCCUCCGCCGCCCAAUUCGAUCUCCAGCUAUGGGGCUUUCGUUGCGCAGGUUCCUCACUUCACUUGUUUGAUUCUUUUGCCCGAUAGGUUCUUGUUUCCUUGAAAUGGUAGGUGAUGACCCGUAUGGUUUCCUUUCCCGCACAGAUUUAACCCUGCUGGGUAGCUAGCAGUGGAUCGAUGUGAAGAGAUCUGCAACCGAGCUAGGGAAAUCUUUGCUUCAGAGCUUGUUGAUCAAGACCGCAGUGAACAAGAUGGAGUUGGUUGUCGGUGCUUCAGAAGCCGCCAUGAGGUCUCUGCUUGGCAAGCUGGGUGGCCUUCUCGCCCAGGAGUAUGCUCUGGUCAGCGGCGUCCGUGAUGACGUCCAGUACAUUUACAACGAGAUGGCCAUCAUGCAGGCCUUCCUCCUCGACCUCAGCUCUGCCCCGGAGGAGCAGGGCCAUCGGAUGAAGGUCUGGAUGAAGCAGAUCCGUGACAUGACCUACGACUGCGAGGACUGCAUGCAUUACUAUGCCCACCUCGUCCCUAAUGACUCCAUCAGUGAUGUCAAAUGUGCCUUCAUAGUCAGAACCAUAUAUGAACUCAGGACAUGGUGGCCUCGCCGUGAAAUUGCUUCCAACAUUGCUGACCUCAAGAUCCGGGCACAACAGAUUGCCGAACGACGCGGCAGAUAUGGAGUUGACAACCCAAGCAACUGCAAUGGCAACAGUUCCGGAGCCCGUGCCGCUACGUAUGACAUUGCGGAGCAUCAGGUCGCCAGCCGUCAGCUCAUCGGUAUGAAGGAGCCUGUGGGUGUGACGGCUGACAUGAACAAGCUUGAGGAGUGGGUAGACAGACCUGAUAAGGACAUUGGUGUUCUGUCCAUAAUCGGAUUCGGCGGUGUGGGGAAGACCACCAUUGCCAUAGCAUUGUACCGGAAAGUCAGUAAUAAAUUUGACUGCCGUGCUUGGGUUAAUGUGUCCCAGAACUACGACAAAGAGGCAGUCCUAAGGAGUAUUCUGAAACAAGUCAUGCUACAAGACAAAGAUCAGAUUUCUCGGGAAAAAAAUUUCCAAGACGGAGAUCAGGAGGCAGUCCAAAGCACAGGGGAGGGAAGCUCGGAGAAGAAGCACCUAGCAGCACACGUUAUGAACACAUUAAAGCUGCCAUUCGUCAGAGGGCACAAGCAGCAAGGCAAUGAUGGGAGCUCUGAUGAAAAGCAGAUGAAGAUUGAAACAAUGUACGGUGAUGAACUCGUCAACGAAGUGAAAAAGCACCUGAAGGAAAAGAGGUACAUUUUAAAGAUUAUUUCUUGUUUAUUGAUUACUAGAUCUGUUCACCGGUUUAGUCAACGUCAGCUAGAGGGAAUUAAUACAUAAUUUAAAAGACGCUCAUGCAGACUAUGAUGAUCUGAUGACGGCAAUGAUUAGCUUUUCACCGUGGCUACCAUUAACACCACUUAAGUUCAUAUGACAAUGCAAACAUGUGAAAUAAGAACACACUGAUAUACAGCUUAAUAGAAUUAAUGAUCAUAAUCAUAAGUGUAGCAGUAAAAUAUGGAGAUCCCCUUUUCAUCCCAGGGUAGUUUUGCAAAAUUGCAAACCCUCUUUCUAUAGACAACCAAGAUACGUGCUAUGUAAAUCUAUGUCGAUCAGGACUUCAUGUGGACGAAUUGUUUCGGGAACGCAAGAUAUAUGUCAAGGGCUUUCAUCUUUGGGUUUGGGUACUUGAAUCGGGCUUUGGGUUUGCCAACCAACAGGGACUUGGACAAUUGGCCUGACCCCUAUAUGGAUCUUCUUGUGCUCAUCUUCCUCAUGAAGGCUCCUAGAAAUGUUCCAAGUGCAGGCCCAAAUCAAGAUUUGUACAAAAACUGCCAAUAUAUGUUGUAUUUUAGGCGCCAAGUGGCCUGAUAGUAUAUGGAUUAGUCCAAAAAUACUGCUAAAUGAGUAUUAAAAGUUUCCAUUAUCAAAAUUUCCCCUUAUUAAUGAGGGGCAACAACACUUCCCCCAUCAGUUUUCUGAUUUUUGUUCUCCCUUUUUUGUUUCAAAGGCAAACUCUAUUGUGGCUAAUGUCACACCCGAUUUUUAAACAAAACCAAGUGCUACCUACAUGUAUGUCAGGAUCUAGUUUCAUACAUAUAGUGACAUCAUUAGUGAAUAACAGGAACAAUAUCACGUAAAAAAGAUACAAAUAAGGAUUUACGAGACUAUCAGAGAUACAUAGCUUAGAUCCUUGGAACGGAUGCUCCAAACUUCACAGGCAAUCGACUAGGGGUUGCAUACGCCUAGAACUCAUUAUCAUCUUCAGAAACUUUACACACCUUCUUCUAAGUAGCAGUAAGCAAGGGUAAGUACACUUAUGGUUGGUACUCAACAAGGCCACAAGAAAUAAUCAUAAUUAAUGAUUUGAGUCCAUCUUCAAAUUUAAUUAAUCAUGUGAGGGUCCAGGUCGCUCUUGCCCGUGAGCGCGGCUGAUCAAUCAGUUUUAGACACUCUGCAGAGGUUGUACAUCUUGACCCACAAGUCGCGUAAAAGUUCAAAUGAACUUUGGACCCAACCAUGCGGUGUUUGCAAGACACCAUACCACACUACCGAGGUAUGAUUGCAUAGGGACGCUAUGAGGCCUUUACAAAGAUUCAUUAGUAAGUGGUAACCCGCUAAGGUUUCGGUGUCUGGCGUGCACGACCUAUCACAGGUAAUGCAACGACUCAGUCCCCCCUCUUGUCUCUUCUCAAGUAAGGUUACCCCAAACUAAGGUUUCUAAUUAUUCAACCAAGACUAGAGCCAUUGAGUCUUGUGGUAGCACUGUUUUUCUGGGUGGUUCUCCAUGUUCCAAUUAAUGCAAGAUAUUCUUAUAAAUAAGCAUAGAUAGAAGGAUGGUUAGAGACACUAGCCUUUCUCCAAUGAAAAGAUACCAUUACUGCUCUUCGACUCUUGCUCUCUUGAACCUCUUAAUAUUCAAAUCUUCCGAACAACGAUCCUUCUAAUUGAAGCAAUUACCAGCACAACAUACAAGCAAACAAAAUAGUACAACUAAGAACAAUACACCAAAACAAAAGAAAGCUUUAGAAGAACGUACUAAAGAACAGGGCUCGAUUCAAGGUCACACAAACGCGCGAAACGCUGAGAUCGGAGCUAUUGAGAUGUUUGAUUCACAUAAGAAAUAAAAAGACUAUAUGCUUGAUUCAUUUUUAUUAAAUAAAACAUGUACAUAAGUUAUUUUAGAGAAUUACCCUAUUUGGAAUUAAGCAAGUUAUAUUUAAUCAUUGAAAACGCGGUAAACUUAAUCAUAUUUUAUUUGUAAAUAUUAAAGUACAAAUUAUAUCAAUUUAACAAUUAGCUUUAGAAACUCAGAGCAUGUACAAGACAUCUAAUCGAACUUUGUAUUUCGGAUUCAACUAAACAUGUUAAUGCGGGAAAAUGUAUUUAUAAUACUAUUAAGCAUGUUAGUUUUAUUUAUGAAAACUGGUGUAUCACACUAGAUAUCUUUUAUUUAGAAAAGCUAGUUAUAAUUAGGAAUUAAUCAAUUAAAUCUUAGUUUGAAAACCAGGAUAGAACCUAAUUAACUUUUAUUUAGAAAACUAAUUGAAUAAGAAUGAGUCAAAUUAAUAUUGAUUAUGAAAAAUCGAUGUAAACCCUACUACAUAAAUUCUUAUCAAGAAAAGAAUUCAAAUAGGCAUUAAUCAAAUUACUAUUAAAUUUAUUUUUAAAGACAUGCGAGGGCAAACAUUACCAAUAACGUAUAAUUUAUGUUAUCGUGAACCUGACACAACUUGAACGAGUAGAAACGGAGCUAAAAUGUGGAUUGUACGAGCUAAACAAUAUACUCCAGGAGUUAGCAAGGAAGAUUCACCAAACUCAGUGAACAGAGCUCGUGAUUAGAUCAAAGAUCAGGGUUAGAUUUGUACAAGUGCAGGGCUCGGGUUAGAAAGAAAGACUGCGGGAAUUGCAGGGUUUUCUAUGCAAGAUUUGCAAGGCAUAAGAAUAUCGGAUAUGCCACGGGCUAGAUCAGAAAAUAGCCUUUCUUCUACCUUGCGCAUGCCUGCGCAGGAAGGGGCGGCGCAUACACCAGCAGCUCGCCGAUGCUUCUUGGCGCGACGGGGCCCUUGGCGGCUGGCGCAAGCAGGGAGAAAGGAAGAGAGGCGCGAGAAGGGGGUCCUCACCGGCGGAGGCGGCGGUGAAAGAGGUGCACGACAUCCAACGGUGGAAGAUUUGAGUGGCGGCGGUGAGGAAAAGCGGCGGUGGCGCUGCUGGUUUGAAAGGGGCGGCGGCGGUGGCAAAACGGAAGGAGGGGAGCCAGGGACGGGCGCUACUUAUAGGCCACGGAGGGGAGCUGAGGCAGCGAAAUUGGCGGAGUAAUAGCCAGCCAUGAAGGAGUAAUGGCGCCGGUUACUGGGAGUGAAGGGGAGGGGCGUUAGCGGCGCGUGUGCGUGGAGGAAGUGGGGACGGCACGCAUGCGACGUGGGGGAGGUACUGCGGCGGUUUCGGAGUGGAGCGUGCAUUCAACUUCCAUUUUCCACAUUCCUAUAGGGCUCGCUUUGUGCAUUUUAUUCUCUUCAUGAGGUCUCCAAAAAAAAUCUACUCCAGUCCCAAAAGUCAGUUGCCACCUCUCAUAUGGCAUCACCCAUGUUCCCUAACCUAGCCGCCGCAUCAACUUCCAUGCAUUAUCCACAAUUUUUCCACAGUUCUCGAUCAUCUCUACUUCCACAUCUAUAAUCUGGAUAAUUGAUUAAUUUGUCUAUGAUCUGAGUGCCUCGAGACACCGUUGACCACUCGGAAAUCGGGACCUCCAUGAUGAAUGAACAAUGGCUCGAUAUCCAACUGCUCCCAUGCGUAGUGAUCACUCAAGUGGCUAUUAGGAUUCGCGAAACAUAUGAGAGACAAAGGAUAUGAUUGGAUAACUGGAGUUCAAAUAUAUCCAGUUAGAACUGAAAGAUGAACUGAGCUAGAUAUUGAAGAUUAGCUCAAAGAGGAACAUCUCGAUCUCGGACUGAAGUUAAACCCAACCUGAGAGAGGAAGUUAGAGAAUAGAGAUAGCAUUGGAAAAUGUAUGAGGACUUGUCGUUUAACUCUGAACGGAGUUUAAGUUGAGCAAAUAGAUUUAAGAAUAAUGGUUUAAAUUAUGAACUGAGUUCAAACUUAAACUGGCACAAAUAAAGGAAGCUCAAACAAGAACACGAGCAUUGAAAACAUUUUAAAACACAAAAUAGUUUGCCCAUUUUGAAGUUAGUAUACGAAAGAAAAAGUUGACAAGUUUUAAAAUGGUUACAAGCAAUUUAAUAAUAAAAUCUCUAAAUUUUGAGAUUUUUUAAAUUCUGAAAAUACGGUGUUUUAUGAAAAAGAUCCUCGCAGAAAAGAUAAACUUGAUUUGUUUUACCGUCUCAUCUCUAAUAUAUAUAUAUAUGUUCUCCUCUUUUCUUGACAGCUACCUGCUCUUAAUUGAUGACAUAUGGUCUGCAAAAACAUGGGGGGAUAUCAGAAAUUGUUUGCCUGUAGAGAACAAAAAAUGCAGUAGAAUAAUAGUGACUUCAAGAUUUCAAGCUGUUGGUGCAGCGUGCUCACCAGUUGGCACAACUAAUCUUCUGCAUACAGUUGAUUUUCUCAAUGCUGUUGAGUCCAAUAAUUUGUUCAAGCAAAGUGUCUAUGAAUCCAAAAGAAGCAAAGAAAGCGAAAAGGUACGGGACAAAGUCCCAGAGGAGAUAUUGAAAAUAUGUGGAGGGCUGCCGUUGGCCAUAGUCAGCAUGGCUGGUCUUGUAGCCUGCAACUCAAGCAAGGCCCUUAGUCACUGGGAUAAAGUUUGCAAAUCAUUAUUUCCAGAGAGUGUGACUGCUCUCUCCUUGGAUGGGGUUACAAGGAUACUUGAUUUCUGUUACAACGAUUUGCCGGGAGAUCUUAAGACCUGUGCACUGUACUUGAGCAUGUUUCCAAAAGGUUCCAAAAUUAGUAUGAAGCGUUUGACUCGGCGAUUGACAGCUGAAGGUUUUGUUAGUGAGAAGCAAGGGCUCACGGAGGAGGAAGUUGCAGAGACAUACUUUAAUCAGCUCAUGAGAAGGAAGUUAAUACGUCCUGUGGAGCACAACAGCAAUGGAAAAGUAAAAACAUUUCUAGUUCAUGAUAUGGUUCUUGAAUACAUCGUUUCCAAGUCAAGUGAAGAGAACUUUAUUACUGUGGUUGGCGGCCAUUGGAUGAUGCCACCACCCAGCAACAAAGUACGUCGACUCUCUAUGCAAAGCAGUGGUUCCAAGCAUGAAAAUAUGACAAAAAACAUAAACUUGUCUCAAGUGCGGUCAGUGACUGUUUUUGGAAGCCUGAAGCAAUUGCCUUUCCAUUCAUUCAAUAAUGGAAUAAUACAAGUGCUAGAUCUUGAGGGUUGGAAGGGUUUGAAAGAGAGACAUCUGAAGAAUCAUAUAUGCAAAAUGCUUGUGUUGAAGUAUCUAAGCCUCCGAAGAACAGAGAUUGCAAAAAUCCCCAAGAAGAUUGGAAAAUUGGAGUAUCUUGAAACUCUUGACAUAAGGGAGACACAUGUUGAGGAGCUACCCAAAUCUGUAGAGAAGCUAAAACGGAUCAGUAGCAUACUUGGUGGCAAUAAAAACCCACGGAAGGGCUUGAGGUUGCCUCAAGAAAAAAUUAAGGAACCAAAGGAAAGUACAUCUGCUCAGGAAAAAAGCGAGGACGACACAGUUACAAGUACGUCCACGCAAGAGAAAAAUAAGGAGGGAAUGAAAGCACUCCGUGUACUGUCAGGGAUUGAAAUUGUUGGGGAAUCAACAGCUGUCGAUGGCCUUCAUCAGAUGAUAGGGCUAAAAAAACUUGCUAUUUACAAGCUCCAUAUAAAGAAAGAUGAUAAAAUCUUCACACAACUACUUUCCGCUAUUACGUACCUUUUCAGCUGUGGUCUGCAAACUCUGGCAAUCAACGAUGAAGGUUCUGAUUUUAUCAACUCACUGGACUCCAUGUCCUCACCUCCAAGGUACCUCAUCGCCCUUGAACUGUCUGGGAUGUUGGAAAAGCCCCCAACGUGGAUAUCCAAACUCCACACCCUCAGCAAGUUAACGCUAUCUCUGACAGUUCUCCGGACUGAUACAUUCAAGCUCCUCCAGGACCUGCCAUCACUGUUUUCUCUCACAUUUUCACUUAGUGCAGCAAAGCAGAAUCAGGACAUAAUAAAGGACAUCCUCGAGAAGAAUAAAUCAGAUUCUGAUGGGGAGAUCUUUGUUCCAGCAGGAUUCCCGAGUCUUAAGCUGCUACGCUUCUUUGCACCCCUUGUGCCAAAGCUGGGAUUUGGUGACAAUGCAAUGCCAGCAUUAGAGAUGAUUCAGGCGCGGUUUGAAGCCUUUGAAGGUUUAUUUGGCAUCGACACAUUAGAAAACCUCCGGGAGGUGCACCUCAGAGUUAAUGGCCUAGCUGCGGAAUUAAAAGAAAGUGAUGAAGCAGGAACACAAGAAACAGAAACCCCUAAAAUAAAAGAAAAGGAAAGGAAGGAAGCUGCUGAAAUCACCAGGUUCUUGGUCAAAGAUUUGAAGAACUACACUACUGAUAAGCUGAAGGUAAUCGUUGACUAUAUUAUCAAUGCUUGAAAUUGCAAAAUAAUUUGGUUGUUGUUUGCUAAAUAAAUAGGGAUGGCAGGUAUAUCCAUCCCAUGGUACUGUGUAUUUUUAUUUCAUUGUCAAUUGAUUAGUGUUUCGUUCUGUCAUGUAUGGCUGGAGCUCCUAGAUACACCGUUUCAGUGUUUGUUGGGGUAGUAAUAAAAGGGGAUACCCAAAGGAACUAUUGUAAUCUUUAUGUUGUGUUGUACACUAUUUCCUAUUGCUACUCAGGUAUUAGUUUACUCUGAUGAACUGAUGUACUCUGAUCAACAUUGCCAAUUUAGCUGUUUAAAUAAUGUGUGUGAAUAAAGUCUCAAACUGGUGUAUGUAGCUGUGUACAUGAGUUUAGGAAAACACCGAACAACUGCUACAAGAGGGACAGGGCAGCACAAGGGCAAGUGAGACAUGGGGAUCGUCAAGCUGUACACCUAAAUUUCAUCUGAUGAGGAAGCAGGAAGGUUAUAAUCGCGAUUACCUCAAGGCCUCCUGAGGGCGCCAGCCGACGACUGCAGCGGCAGUGGCGGCGCCGGGGACAGGAGCCAGUCGAGCUUGGCGGUGCCUAAUUCGAUCGCCUCCGUGCCCAUGGAGGCAUCGAGCAGUGGAUGGGGCAGAUGAAAAAACUGUUCCCACGUGUGCGGGCAUGUUGUUUAGAUGGGCCGGCCCAACGCGGGCACCCACUACAGACCUACAGUUAGAUUUAUUAGAUUUGUUGCUAAAAUAUCGGUAUUAAGUCCGAAACUCCCAACAAAUGACCUAUGAGAAAAAAAAUGAAAGAAUAUGUUACAUUUUUCAUACACUCUUCUCUUAUGGAUAGGAUGAAUAAAGAAGAAAGUUUUUCGAUCACUUACUUUGGUCGCCCAUUUUUUAUCUUUUUUUAAUGCAAUCUUUUUUAAUGCAAAUAGAUUUAAUCUAAAAAAUUCAUUUAGAUUAAGUAUUACGUCUCGUUUGAUCUGUAAAAAAUCUUCUUUGUUGAAAUGUUUCCAAAAUUCGAGGAGCCUCGAGCGUGCCAGGCCAAGCCCGCUUGAAGCCGAAACGAAUAUAAUUCGUUCCCGGCCAGAGGGCGAGUACAAAUCCAAGAGGUGGCACGACUUCCACGUCAGAACGUAUGAUCAGUGAGGUCGUCAAAGGCAGAGUGCACUGCAUCAGCAUCAGCACCAGCAUUUUCUCACGGGAAUCUAAAGUCCUUAAUCGUGCCAUUGGGACAAGUUGAAGCGCACAAUAUACAUUAUGCAUACAUAUAUACAUUCCUCAUAAUAGGUCACCAUGUCCAUGACCGCUUGUCGGUGUUUAGAUCCGGCAACCUACUGUGGAGAGGUGCCUGAGAUUAGAAACUCGAAGGUAAAUGCAGACACACGAUUUAGACAGGUUCGGGCUGUUGAAUACCUUAAUACUCUAUGUCAUGUGUGAUGGUUGGAUUGAAUUAUUUUAAAAGGGAACCCUACCUCACCUUAUAUUGUCGGGUGUAGGGAUACAAGUCAGUUGUUUACAAAAAUAGUCGGAUUUGAUUAUACGAGUUCUACUUUUAUUGCUACGAGUGCUACGUAGACUACGCCGUCCUGCGUCAUAGUCUCCAUGUUCGAUACAUCUCGGUGUCCAGCCCCAUAUUUAGGACUGUCCAAACUUUCUGAUGGACCCAUAGAUGUAUGUCCGAUAAGCCCUCGAUUACAUUUUAGUUAAAUGUAGCAGUUCCAAAUACUUUUAUAGACUUCACCGACUAGUCCUAGUUCUUGUGCUUUUCGAGUACUUCAUCUAGUUAAGUUUUCAAAGGGACCAAGAAAUAUCAUGCAGCUAGAAUGUGCUCAAGCCUCGUUGAUUUUAUCUUGUAUCCUUCAUCCUUGAAUUUUAUCCAUAUGGAGUAGCCCCCGAACCUUAUGUUGAAUCGAAGAAUCAGGUUGAGGGUCAAUCUGUAAUUUGCAUCAAUUUCCCCUUAAAACAUAGAGAAAAAACAUUUUAUCGGUGGACAUGUGGCACACAGCCCCCGAGCCUUUUAUCGACUAGUUUGGUAGGUACAAGGGUCAACCUCUGGUCAUGACCAUCUUUGAAAGAAAAUCUUAUCCGUUCCGAAAAUAGAGGUAACUGCCAAUCAGGUGUUGCAAAAUCCACAGAUCCAUUAAACUUGAUAUUCAUUUAUUAGCGUUGUUGUUACUAUGCCGCGGUUAUAAAUAACAGAGGAAUCCAUCCCUUACCUUUGUCAUCUGCCUUUCAGACUUCAACGCUUGAGCCCCAACACCGCUGCUGCCUGAACUCUGAGCGCUAGCGCCGUCGCCCCCACCACUCUGGUCCUGAGCUUAUACGACAGAAGAAACUCGUGACAUCAAGGAUGGGGAGGAAGGUUGUUGUUGUCAAGUCUGCCGUGGAGGAAAAGCAGAGGAAGUCUGAUAAGAAGAAGUUGUAGUUGCCUACGUCCAAGUACGGGAAGACAGAUCAGACUGCGCCGCCAGUAAGGUACUAAAUAGCAUUUAGCGGUAUGGUAGCGGAUUAAGGUUGGUGUAGUGGAUCGCGGAUAGCGGAUGUUAUAGCGGACGCUAAGUCCAAAUAGCGGAAUUUCAAAAUAGUCAUAUUUUUAAAGCAUAUAUGAAUAUUAACAUCAAGUUUACUUAAAAAAGUUAAAAUUUUAAUUUAGCCAUUACAUUUCACAAAUAAAUAGAUAUAAUUAAGAUGUAUGGAUAUAUAUUAACAUUAAACUCUCAUAUCAAUAAAUAAAAAAAUUCAUAUUUCAUCUCAUAAUGCUUUGUCACUACCUAAAUAAUCAUUUUAAAACAUUAUUAUUACCAUUUGAUUCAUGUUCAUAUAUCACCUAAAUCAUAAAUGUAGCGAAUAGUGGUAACGGCCGCAAUAACAGGCAAUAGUGGAUAAUAGCGGACGCUAAGUCCAAACAUACUAUUUUUAGAUCCGAUACCUUGUAGCAGUAGCGGUACCUACCGCUACCGCUAUAGCAGCUGCUAUUGCAGGCGUUAUGAAUACUGUUUAGUACCUUGAUACCGGCAUCUUUUGGAUCCGAAUACUCAGUGAGAAAUAUAUUUGUGCGAGUACAAAAUGAAUGAAAUAGAAAACGGACAGAGCAGGGUAUUAGUAUGUUGGCCCAAUUUAUCUUUAUCUUUGGUCGACCUCUGGUGUAUGUGGACCCUUCUUAGGACAAGAACGACAGUGGGCUAGGUGCAGCUCAAAUUUUGACCAACUGAGCUCAGGAAGCGCACUCACUGCUCUAGUAGUACUGGUUCGCUUAUGCUUUUCUUCCAUUUCCUUUUUGUAGUGAAUUAUAUUUCCACACCCACAGAAUUGCUUGGUGAGCUCAGAAAAACCCGCCGGCCAGUCAUUCGCAGACUUGUGGCGAGAAGCCCCUACAGGGCUGCCGUUCUCGAAGCCGUUUUGAAUCUGAUUCGCUAGCUGAGGUCGUCAAGGCAGAGCGUGCUCUGCCCCAGCAUCUACACGACCAUUAUUUUUCACAGGAAUCGAUCUCCCAACACACCGGACGAGUGCUCCAUGCAUCGAAACAUAGCUUGGGCUUCCGGAGAUUCGACGCCCUGAUCUCCAAUUUCAUCCGGAGGCACAGAACUUCACCUGAACAGUUAAACUGCUCGAGGAAGGUGUCCUUACCAAACAUUCAUAUUUCUUCAGGCUCUGUUCGGAACUUGAGAAACGCUGAUUUGCCGAAAAUGAUCUCGCAUUACACCUCUUGUGGUCCGUAGUCUUGUUUCAUCAUUGAUAAAAAAGCAUUCCCAAACACCCUAGGCUGUCCUGUACCUUUUGCUUUUGUGGCUACCAAGCCAGCUGCAACAACUACUGCCAAUGGGUUGCCCCAGCACACUUUAAGUACAUUUUUGAGAAUAUUUGGAUAAUUUAGGCAAUCUUUCUCUGAAAAAGACAUCCUACUGAGCAGCAAGAGCCUAGAGUCAGAAUCAGCAGGAGGCUUUAACACAAAGAUGAAGUCAAUUGGCUUCACACAGCAGAACUUGGCUAACUUCUCAGCCUCAGUUGUUGCUAGUAUCCUACUUCCGGGGUUGUUCUCUGGAAAAGCACAUGUGAUAGAGUUCCAAGAGGAAAUGGUCCAUAUGUCAUCAAUUACAAUGAGGUACCUGAAAACAUAUUUGUCAAGGUGCAUGUCAGUCAGAGCUUUAAGUAACCGUAUAACAGCUUAUUCAAUGAAAGCUGAUCGUCAUGCAUGUUACAUUAUCUGUUUGCAUAAAUGACAUUGUUUCAAAACUCUUCAUCUGCUUUGCCCACAUGCUAUACCGGACUUGCUUUCUGUGCAUACUUUACGGGAAUUUGUAUCUGUGGCACUAGCCAUGUCAAUUGCAGUGGCACACAAUUUCCAGCAGCAUGGACAGAAAGUGUUAGUUUGUGAUGGCAUGCGAGCAAACUAGCAAAAUCUCAAUGAUGUACUCAUAAAUUUCCGAAUUUCAAAAUGCAUUCUUCACAAAUUAAAAAAACCUACAAAAUUUACAGGCACUUUACUUAUCUGUGUACUUCUGACACCGUUAUAUAUAUUCUUAAUAGGCCUUCAGGUUGUAACAGUUGGUCAGUACCAAAAAUUUCAGGAAGUAAAAAUAUAUUAAACUCCACUCGAUUCUUGGACUGAUGCUUAGGCACUUGACCAAUAAUUAGGUAAAUAAAUAUGGAAUGAUAUGCUGAAAUAGAAUCUAGUUUUGGUAACAGAAAUGAUCUCUAUAUGAGAGAGAAUCGAGGGAGUACCUCUUUGUCUAAAGGAAUUCCCUCAAUUUUUUGGUGAGAACCUUCUUGUCACAGGGAACAAGGCUACUGGGCAUCACUUGAUGGGCGACAUCCAUUAGAGUAUCAACUAUAGAUGGGUACCGGCCAACAUAUACAAUAGCUGCUUCAUCCAAUGGCGGUCCAGCGCGUUCAGCACCACCCCUCGGGCACAGAAUCCAAGCAGUUGUUGCUGGAUGCCAUCAAGGUAUUGCCUUAAUUUCGUGAACUCGGUUUCAGCUGGCAGCUUGUUGAGGAGGAAAUUUAUGGCGCCCAUAGAAGAGCUCACCAUAGCCAUAGUCCAAGGAGAGCCUUCUUGUCUCUCCUCUGUGUGAUCGCCCAUCCCCAGCCCACGGUCGUGAUCCAUUUGCCCUGCAAAUAAUAAUAAUAAUUAAAUACGUAAAAGAAUUGUGCGUUAGUUAUCUUCUGGAUUUCGGAUCUGAGGUCGACGGGAAGAUAACCCCUACACUACACAAAACCAAUCCCAAUCACCAAACCAUCGCAACAGUGAUCAAGUGUACCCACCAAAAAUCCUGGUCAAGCCAAAACCCCCCACUCCGACCCCCCGAGUCAGUGAUUGAUGCUCGAAAAUAUCGCCAAGAAAUCGCGGGGCAAGGGACGGGGUCUAAGAUUUACCAGAUCCGGAAAAACGGAAUCCACCGGUUCGGGAGGGAAGAUCCAAGCGCGACGCCUCCGGCUCCGGCACCGGCCUCGUCCUCCAGGAGCAGCGGCGGCUGGAGAGAUGGAACCCUAGCAGCCUGGGAGAAUUGGAAAUAAUCAUCUCCGCCGCGCCGGCGCCACCGUGGUGGACCCCGUUACGACGGAAGGUACAACUAGGCAGAAAAUCGGACGGCUCACGUCGACGGUUGAGACGCCACCAAGGGCGUACCCGUAAAUAACUUUUCCCGUAAUGUAAAAACGACGUAACCCGAAGGUCCAAUUUGCAAAAGGACCAAAUCAAUAGAUUAAUGGAUAUGGAGAAAAAAAAGAAGAAAAAUAAAUCGUGUGCCAGGCCAGAGCAAACAAUUCUACUCAGUUCCCUUCCUUCUCCCCCUCCCCGCGGCCGCUAGGGUUUUAUCCCGCUCGCACGCUCGCUCGCUGGCUGCUACCUCCCGGCGAAGGAGGCGCCGGAGGCCUCGCGCUUCGAUCCCCCGUCUUGGGCCCUUCGAUUCCACCUCUUAACCCCGGUAAUCCUAAGAUCCCGCCCUUCGAUUCCACUUCUUAAGCCCGGUAAUCCUAAGACCCCGCCCCUUGCCCGCCGAUUCGGCCGCGAUUUUUUUUUCGCUCGGGUUUCUUCGAAUUCUUCCUCGGGGGGUUUUGCUGCUGGCUCCGUGUCGGGCGCUAACCAAGAUUGGGGUUUGGUGCUUUUGGUGGGCUCGAUUGGUUUUUGGCGCGGUGGGUUCGUGGCUAGUGUUGGAUUUUCGUUCGGGAUUCGUGGGUGAUUGGGGGUGGAUGUGAGCCGAUUCGGAUAUGAAAUUUCGUCCCUUUUGGAUGCGGAUUUGUAAAAAUCAUUUACUUAUUUGCAGGGCAAAAGAGCAUUAUGGUCGCUGCAUAGGUGGGCAGGCAGGCAUUGGGAGAAGAAGAAGGCUCUUCUCUUGCUUGACAUGGUGGCUCAGGAGGCCGCCGCAGAUGCAUUGGGCCCUCGGUUUGCCCCUGAUGACCUGACUCUCCCUGCGCCCUGGAAAGCGCUGAUCGACGGGGCAACGCUGUACUACUGGAACCCGGAGACGAAUGUGACCCAGUACGAGAAGCCGGGUGCUGCGGCGGCAGCACCCCCGGCGGGUCCUCCGCCAACAAUCCCUGCGCAGGUUCCGGAACCCGCACCAGGGGCUUUUUCACAGCCUGGCAUGCAGUUUGGCCAAGCUGGUCAGGGGGUGCACCAGGAGCGACCAGGCCAGGCAACUUAUCCUCAGGCUGGCCAGCUUGGGCAGCAGGAGUAGCAGCAGACUCAACAGCCGGCGCAGCAGCAACCUUUUCAGCACGUGCCUCAACAGCAACCUUCGUUUCAGCAAGCGCUGUAUCAGCAACAGCAGCCACACAUGCCAAAUCAGCCACCUCAAUACCCCAACCCGCAUCUUAAUUUUAUCGGUACACUUACCAAUCUGGAGUAUCUGGAACUAUCGUCGAACAAAUUUGAGUAUCUACCAGAAAGUAUUGGUAAUCUUAAAAGGUUGCAUAUACUGAAUCUCAAGAAUUGCGAUAUCCUCGAGUCCCUUCCAGAGAGUAUAGGUAAUCUCAAAAGGCUGCAUACACUGAAUCUCGAGAAUUGCCAGAUGCUCGAGUCCCUCUCAGAGAGUAUAGGUAAUCUCAAUAGGCUACAUACACUGAAUCUCAAGGAUUGCUGGAAGCUCGAGUCCCUCCCAGAGAGUAUAGGUUGUGCAACUGGGCUGAAGUCUGUACUGAUGGACGGGUGCCCAGACAAAUUAAUGGAUCAGGCCAGUUCUCUAUUGCACUAUUCACUAACAUUACCACUCUUUAAGGUUCGUGCUGAUGACGUCAGUGCUCAUAGCAAUUUGCAUGUGCUCGAGGGUGAAAAUGUCGCCGAUGAGUUACAUAUAGUUUCUCUUGAAAACGUAAGACUUUUGGAGGAAGCACGGAGACUUAACCUGUUGACCAAACAGAAUCUUUUGAACUUGAAACUGGUUUGAAAAUUGAAUGCCUAUCGACAUUUGGAGGACAAGGAUUUGUUGGGACAGCUAGUGCCACCAAUGAGCCUGAAGGACUUGAGUCUACAAGGUUAUAGCAGUCGGAGCUUUCCUGGCUGGCUCAUGGCAAUUUCUCAUCAUCUCCCUAAUCUUACUUGUAUUGAAUUGACGGAUCUGCCUACAUGUAGCAACCUACCACUCCUUGGACAGUUACCGUACUUAGAAAGCCUACGUCUUUGUGAUAUACCCAAGGUUUCAAAAAUUGACGGGGGUAUCUGUGGUGGCAAAAGAGCAUUUCCCCGACUGGAAGUCUUCAUGGUAAGUUUUAUGGAUGGUGUGGAGAAGUGGGAUACAACAUGUCCUGGAGAGGAUGGUGUGGAGGAGUUCAUGUUCCCUAUGUUAGAUGAACUCGAGGUAUAUGAAUGUCCAAAGUUGAGGUUAAAACCAUGCCUCCCAAAUGUCGUAAGUUCAUAAUAUCAAAAAGCGACCAAGUUAUAUCUUCACUGGAGGAGGUACAAACCAGCAGCCAUCGCUGCAACUCUACUCCAACGACCACCAAACUGGAGAUCAGCAAAAGUCAGCACGACAGUUUCAGGCUGUUUCACCACUUCCCUGCCCUCCAGGAGUUGGUAUUCUCCUGGUGUUCAAAUAUGCCGAGCUUGCCGGAGGGCAUACAACAACUCUCCUCCCUUCAGUCACUCGAGUUGCAUUGUUGUGACAGCAUAUCAGCACUGCCAGAAUGGCUGAGUGACAUCUCCUCUCUUAAAAACCUUGUCAUCUGGGACUGUGAUAUCAUCAAGUCUUUGCCUGCAUGUAUACAGCACCUCACCAACCUCGAGGAGUUAGAUAUUAAGGGGAACCAGGAACUACAGCAUUGGUGCGAGUCAGAAGAGAACAAGACCAAGCUCGCACACAUUAACAUAGUAAGUUCAUGACGACCAUAUUUAUUUUUCUAAAUCCGGCAUUCAAGUUUCUAAUAAAACUUAGGUCCUAUAUGGAUAGCAAGUGCUAAACUUUAGCACCCUCAAAUGAAGUGCUAAAUUUAGCACCUUGGAAUGUUUGGAUAGUAUGCUAAAGUUUAGCACUUUUGGUGGCAAAAGAUCCAAGUACCACUCCUUUUCCCUCUUCCCUGGCUGGCGCACUACCACUCCACCGUGAGCGGAGUUCAGGCUCCUGCUCCUCGCAUCCGGCCAGGGCCCGCUCCACCCGCAUUUGGCGCAAGGAGGCAGACCUGGCGCAAGGUCCUGCUCCACCGUCGGGCUCGACUCGGCCACCAUCGCCAUCGACGUCGGGCUACGGCGGAGUGGCUUGUGCCUUGUCUACAGGUCCUCGCCCAUACCGAUGCUCAAGGCCUCGCUCCUCCCAUCGGGUAGUGGCAGCAACGGCAGCCAUGGCCGCCCACAUCAGUGGGGCCAGGCAUAGGUGGACGACGGUGGGUGUUGCGGUGGGGAGGAGAGAGAGGGGGAUAAUGGUGGGAAAAGGUAGAGGGGGACCACUUUUAGCAUAUUAGCACCCUUUAGCACCCCUUGGGUGUGCUAAUGAAAAGGAGUGUGCUAAACUUAGCAAUCACCUUUUAGCAUCCAUGUUUGGAAGCACAAGUGCUAAAAGUAUGCUAAAAGUGCUGUGCUAAAAUUUAGCACUUGCUAUCCAGGACCUUAUGUACUUCCUAUUUGUGAUUUCCAUGAGUAUAUAAGCUAAAGCUAAUCAGUCGCACUUUUUUUCAACUUUGCAGAUCAAUUUAUCAGUAGCUUAACCAAGUACCAUAAAAAUGCCACCAGGGUAAAAGGCAGGUCAACCAGCUGGACUUCAGAAGUGCGAUGCCUAUAGCAGUGCAGCUGCACUUCUUAUGUCUGUAGAAGUGCAGCUUCAGUUUUAACAUACUUGCCUUCACCUAUUAUUCUUCUAAAAUUGCUUUUGACCCGCAGCCUGUCAUGUGGCUGUGAGACAUUUCUGGGAAACAAGCUCAAAUCAUGUUGAAUCGAAUGAUCUUCAUUAGCAGCAUUGUUAGAUCUCGGAUACUGCAGAGCUUAAAGAAGCUGCUGUGUAGUUGACUACAUUUUCCUCCAUUGGAACUCCAACUGCUUCUGUCAGUGAACUCUAUUGGGUUCUUCAAAUUCUGCAAUAGAUUUUGUCUUCUCCUGAACUUUCCUUCCAUCCUCUUCUCUGUAAUUUUUUUUAUGUUGGGUAGACAACUCUCUCUCUCUCCUUGAAUGCUUAAUGCACCAAAUAAACCUAGAUACUGAAGAUCACAUUUUACACGAAAAAAAGAGCAAGCAUUCCUCCAAGUGAAUAAUGCCCAUGAUAACAGCCAUCACCACGGGGAACAAGAUCUAUGCUGGCCACACGGCAAAGGCACGAAAACACUCGGUGAACCCUUUGCCAAGUGUAACACUUGGAAAAAAAAGUACCAGCAAAGCGGCUUUGCUGACUGUUUUGUGUCGAACACUUGGCAAAGCUUUUUAAAAAAUAAAUUAACAAAGCCAUAGCGCAGACGCCACCACGCCGCACGCCGCCACGCCACCACGCGGCCUGCUACCGGCCGCCACCACCGCCCAUGCCACCGCCGCCAUCACCACCUCCUCCACCAACGCCACCUCCGCCAACGCCACCUCCUCCGCCAGCACGCCACGUCCACGGAUCCGGUGAGGGAGGGAGGGGGUCGGGAGCAGAGGGGAGAUGGGGUGAGAGGGAGGGAGAUGGGCCUAGGAGCAAAGGAGAGGGAGGCAGCGCCGGCGGGAGGAGAUGGGUACGGCGUGAGGGGGGGGAGGGGCGGCGUGCGUGGGGUAUAGAAUAGGGGUUCGCCGAGUGUAGAAAAAAAACACUCGGCAAACCCCUUGUUUGCCUUUUGUUUACACUCGGCGAACCCCAUGUUUACCGAGUGUUUUUUUUUUGCCGAGUGUUUUUAUCGCAACACUCAGCAAAAAGUUUAUUUGCCGAGUGCCUGAAGGAAUGCACUCGGCAAACAUAAAAACACUUGGCAAAUUUGAGGUUUCUGGUAGUGCAUGUUCAUUGUUUUGGGAGAUAAGGUAAUAUUUACGUUCCAUUAAUCGAAUCCACAUUUAUCAUUAAUGCACACUUGCCUACCCCAAAUAUCCAAUUAGACUUUGUGCAAGUUUCUAAAAAAAAGUGUAGAAUGACUAUUACAUACCUGGACUUCAGCAGUUGUCACAUGCGCUUGCGGUCAGAUGUUGGAAAAAGGUUCAACUUCCCAACUUUUUUCAUUUUUUUAUGACAAUAACUGAAAAAAACUCAGCUGGAGAGUGUAGAUGACUACCCUCCUGACCAUGUCCAGAAAAUUAGAUGACGUAUCCUUAGGGCCUGUUUGGAGUCGCUUAUUUCCCGCUUAUUGGUGAAAAUAAGCGAUAAGCCCACCCAAACGCCUCGCUUAUUUCUUGCUUAUCACGUAAGCCGCUUAGUGGAAAAUCUGAAAUUGAACUAGGACUGGGCUUAUCUCCUACGCAGGCCGGGAGGCGCUUGUGGGGCAAGCGACCGAUUUUUCCCCCGCUACCCUCACCCACCGACGCCACCACCCGUCCGCCCCCGCGCCUCCCGCGACCACCGCCGGCUCCGUCCGCCGCCAGGUCCGGUCCGCCGGCAGCUCUCGUCGCCGGCUCCCGCCGCCUACAGAUCCCGCCGCCGCCGCUCGGUCCCGUCCGCCGCCACCGCUCGGUCCUAUCCGCCGCCGCCGCUCCCGCACCUCCCGUGACCGCUGCCGGCUCCCGUCCGCCGCCCGGUCCCAUCACCAGCUCCUGUAGCAUGCAGAUCCCGCCGCCGCCGCUCGGUUUCCGUCCGCCGCCGCCGCUCCCGCGCCUCCCGCAACCGCCGCCGGCUCCCGUCCGCCGCCCGAUCCCGUCCACCACCUGAUCCUAUCGCCGGCACCCACCACCGCCGCUCGGUUCCCGUCCGCCGCCGCCGCCCCCGCCCCUGCGCCUCCCACGACCGUCGCCGAGCUUGGCCGCCGCCGGGCUUGCCCCCUGGCGGCUUGGCCCCCGCCGCCCGGGCUCCGCAGCCAGGGCCGUCAAGGAGGAGGAGGAGGCGCGCGCUCCUCCCCGCCCCCGCGCCGGCCGGCUACGGCGAGGAGGAGGAGGAGGACCUCGAGGAGCGCGCGUACGAGGCGGCGGAGAAGGUCAUUGUGUGCAUCUCGGACGGGCCGGACCUGGAGAGCAGCGGCUGCGACGACGCGGCCCUCUGCUCCUCGUCAGGGGCGGCGCUGCCCUUCUCGUGGCGGAAGCUCUGGCUCUUCACGGGCCCCGGGUUCCUGAUGAGCAUCACGUUCCUGGACCCAGGCAACCUCGAAAGUACUCUAAAUUUCUAUUUCUUGUGAAACCAAAAGAGAGGAGCAAUAAUGCACAAGCAAUGCACUUCCAGGUCAACAUUCAUCUGCAUUAUAGUCUAGCAGUCAAUUGAGCCCUAUAGUCAAAAACUAUAGGAUAUAUUGUAAAGUAUUUGCUAUCAUAUGAAUUUUGUAUGAAUUUUGUAUUAUUGUAAUGUAAUUUCUAUUUAACAAACUCCAAAGGUAUUAGAAAUGUCUUCUCCUCAGAUUCACAAUAAAAAUGAGCUAUUAUCAGCCUUAGGGGCAUUCAGGUCAAUUUACCAACCAGGAUAGACAAUCGACACAAAAUAAUCAGGAUUGCCAAACACCCUGCUUAUUCAGACAGCAGAUUCUCCAGGCAGCAGGCUUAUCAGAUAAGCUUGCUUGCCAGAUAAGCGAGUUCCAAAAAAGCGUAUACAAACAGGCCCUUAAUUAGCAGAACUACCACACAAGCUUCUUGAAGUAUUCGCUCCUCUCUGUGCAUGAGCAUGACAAAAUCAACUGAUUAAUACGCCUUCAAGCUUCACAGAAUCCACUAGCAUGCACUCAUAUAUCCAUAGUUACUACAUUUGUUUGAUAGCAAAAGAGGGGAAAAGGAUGCAGCAGCCCAAGGACAGGCCAUGGCCCGGCUUCCGUUUCAGAUUCCAGCCAAAGGAAUGCCCCAGCUUUUACCACAGGUUCGUUCUGCUUCUUCACCAUAAUUCAGCUAACAAAAUGGCACGCGAAUUUCGUUCAGGUGCCAUACAUGAUAAGGCCGCAAAGGUGACACAGAAUCCGUCCUAGAAGCGAGCACGCUGCAACGUCGUUACAAGACUGAAUUCAAGUGGGAAGAAAAAAAAACAGAGCAAACAGAUGCACCAACUCCAAAUCCUUUCAGAUAGGCUCACAAGUCCUAGAAUGCCGCUACCGCUACAUGAAAGUUGAAAUACAACGAUUCCAAGUAGCACAGCCGCCAAGCAGAGUUGUGAGUCAAGUAAAACACAACAAGAGAUGCUAAUUUUCAGACAAUGCGACAAGCGUUGCAACUGCUAUUCAGGCGAUCAGGCAUAGUACACGUGCUCCCCGUACGCCUGUCCCCACGUCUCAGCCGGAUGCCCUAAUGCAGGCACCAUGGCGCUCCCCCCAUCGCUCCAGCCGACAACAGAGGAUGCAACUGCAGGCAUCAGCUGAUACUCAGGGUGCACGGGGCCUACCAUUGGUGGUCCAGUCAUAUAGCCGCCGCCGCCGCCGUGAGCGUGCACCCCAGCGCCACCGUCCAUCCCCAGCAAGUACACGCCGGUGCCACCGGCCCUCCGUGGUGGUGCAUGCCGUCGUGCUGGACGUGGGGGAACCAUGCACGGUUCAGCUGCUCAAGCUCCGGACCUGCAUGGUACAAGACCUCAGGGUUCAAAGCAGCAGUGGCAGCUCCGUACGCCAUGCCUCCCGUGGCUUGCACGCCGAGCAUCACAUCCAUUUGGCCGACCCUAAGCGCAUUCUGAGUGGGUGCAGCACCUCUUCUGGCAGUACUGAGACCCGGGGCAUCGCCCAUGUCGGAUAUCAGUACGGGUCCAGCGGUGUCACACUUCCAUCCUGGAGCUGGACCAACUUUGACGCCUGCCAAUGAGGAAAGGCUAGUAAAGCUAAGCAGGGAGAAAUAAUUAAUAUAAGGAAAGUGCAUGCCUAAGAUGUGCGCACAUGUGUGAGGAGUAGUUGCCACAUAUGGACUAUGCAGGGCCUUGAAAGGAACGUAUUGGAAGACAACACACAUGCCUGAUGCCAUCAUGAGGAAAGGACCAAUCAUAAUAAAGAUAGAAGAUGGCAAGUCCGAUUCUGAAGCUGAUCGAGCCGAUGGAAUUACAAUAUCUAUUGGAUAAGGAGGCUAGUGUCGGCAAGGGAUUUUCAUGGAAAGUGACUCUGCAAGAAGGGAAAUUGGAGUCCGUGUAUCUCAAAUAAUUCCUUUUGUUUAGAUAUUAGUGUUAGGCAAUUUUGUGUACGACUCAACUAGAGUCAUUACUUCAAGGUAUAAAUAUGUACCUAGGGUUAUUGUAAAAAAUAUCACACAAUCAAUACAACACAUCUACCUUUUCGGCGCCACGCCAUUGCAUUAGGAGUAGGAGUAAGGUAGAUUUUUCCGGUGAGUUCUUUCCGGCAAGCGGGGAUACAUCGACUUCAAUCUCCGGCGAGCUGCAAGUUCCCAUCACCAGGUAUCCUAGACUUCAACGUCCAAGCGCAUCGCUGUCGUUGGAUCUAGUUCUUACCUACAAGUUAUCGAGUAUCUCGGAUCUUCGACUUACGGUGCAUCGCUCCUAUCCCAAUCCAUGGUAUUCACUAGUUAUCGUUUUUAUUAUAUCCUGUAAGGCUGCAUCGUUGGAUCUCUUGCUAGAUGUGGUAGAAUCACAGUUAUCUUGCCUUGAUUAAGCUUACAUCAGUUGAUAUUUAUCUGUUCUAUCAUCUUGCUGUCUAGUUUGCUUUAAUUAGCUCUAGAUCGUAUCAUCAUAGAUGAUAGAUCACUUAAUAGCUUGUUGCAUCUUAAUCUUGGUUACCCCUCGAGUGCUAUUGGAAUUGAGUUCCAUUGUGAUUGGAUUCAUCAGCUAGCAAGGUUUAGAUUGGCGUUCUGCUAAGUGUUUUUAGGCUGCAACUAUCGGACGCAUCGCUGUAGUUUCACCUAGAAAUACUGGUAGUAACGUUAAUUGAAUCUCCUCGGCUUGUAGCUCUAGUCACGGUGGAGCAAGAGCUCAAUGGCGCUCUGUCUCCUAUCGGCUUUCUAGCCGAUGGUUAUCGCCAAUUAUGUUUAAUCGACUGGAUAGUCGAUGAACCGCUCACGCUCAUCCAGAUACUGGAAUCUACUUCAUAGCUGAUAUAUUUAUUCAUCAUGCUUUAUUUUGUUAUGUCAUUAUCACCGUUGGUGCCAGGAUUAUAUCGGCCUGAUCGGCUGGUUGCCUUGAACUUCAAAAGGAUCAUCUUCUCCUUGUCAGUUGAAUGGUCAAACUGACUGGCACUCCCGCGUUCACCACGCACGCCGAUCUACAGGACCUGCACUGGAGUGAAGCAAAUCUUCCAGACCUUUCGUGUGUUAGUACGCGAAGGUCACCGUCCGAUUUUUACGUCAACAGUUACCAAUUGUUGUCCUGAGAUCUCUUGACUACAUACUGCCAUCUAACCAUAGGGUCUUACUAGUAGGUAUCCCUUUCAUCUUUUUUAACAAAAAAGCCAUGUGAUCCCCUCAAAGACUAGCAUAUUUCAGAUCUACCACCUAACGACCAGCAUCUAAACUAAAGGUCUUACAUAUUUGUUGUCCAUGUGAACUUAAAAAAAGUUUCGAUCCACUUGAAGAUCGGCAUCUUGAUGUCUAUGCUUAUCUAUUGGCAUCUAACCAGCAAUGGGUGUUACUUAUUUGUUUCAAUAUGAUAACAAGUAUGCAAACAAAUAUCCGUGAGAUAUAAUGUGCUUCAAUGCGGUGGAAAGUAUAAUGAUAACAUAAUUAUGUUAUUUGAGAAACUAUACAUAUGAUUUUUUAUGUUUGUUCCAAACAGUGCAAAGUAUAUCACUUAUAUCGAUCCAGUGAGCUAGUGAUAAAAUUAUACUAGUGCACCUUUCUGUCCCUCGAAGAUGGAUUUUUUUCCGGAUAGAUUAGCAUAGAGACUAAACAACUUAGUUGUCCCUAAUUAAUAUUAUGGUCAGUUUGCAUGAGAGGGGUUAGGAAACUGCAUGCUACGUUCCUGCUCCAAAUAUUAGACACGCACAAUUUAUUACAAAUUCCAGCGUAAUUAGUGGACAAUUAAUUGAAGCAACAAAAAGGACAAAGGAUGCAAUGCUGGAUGUGUGUCAAGACAAACCAGUACAAGAAUAAUGAAUUGUGCCCUGAUCGAUCAUUACCGUCUGUAAUUAUCAAAGCCUAUAUAAUAGGACCGAUCCAAACAUGGACCUACAUUAUUUUUGUAAUAGAUAUCUAUCAAUAAUUAUAACAAACCAUGAAACCAACCAACUUAAUUAUGAUCCCAUAAAAAAUCAUCAUCCUGAGAUCUAUUCUUAACUACUGGCAUCUAACCAAAUAAUCUUACUAUUAACUAUCCCCGUUCAUUUUUUAAUAAAAACCCACGUGAUCCAUUUAAAGAUCAGCAUCUUGUAGAUGUACACCUAAUUAAAGGCAUCUAAUCAAACGUCUUACAUAUUUGUUAUCCAUGUCAUCAGCCUACAAAAAGUUACCAUCCACUUCAAGAUCGGCAUCUUUAGAUUUAAACUUAAUUACUGGCGGCCGGUGGACUCAACUCCAAUGGAUAAAAAUUUCAGAUCUGGUCCUCCCUCCUUCACCGACGGUUUGUUAAAUGAGGAACUAUUGUUAUAUAAGUUGAUACAUAGUCUCUACGAAAAUUAAUACAAAAUCACAAUAACUACAUGCAAUGUUUGUAUAUAAGUUGCUACACAAACUCAACACGAGUUGAUACAAGAUCCACAUAACAUGACAACAUUGUCGUAUAUAAGUUGCCGGGACGAGUAAAUUUACUUCAAAACUUAUAGAACAUGAGUCUUGUUUUGUAGAUCACAUUGUGAGGAACAAAAUGGUACAAACAGAUUUGAAAUGGACACUUGUCGAUAAAAUUAUCGUCUUUCAAAUAAAAUAGAAUAAUGAAAUAAAACAUGAUGACAUUGUUUAUCCACUGCUUCUUGCCCUCCACUUAGUGCCAGCCGCAAAUGUCCUGACAGUAAAAGGUUUGUGGUUGUUGCGUUCCACUGUUUGCAUGUAUGGAUAUGAUUUUUGCUUGAGGAUGCGUUAACACGCUCCUUUGGAGAUAGAAAUAAGAGAUACAGAGUGUGGUGAGGAGAAGGUGGCAACGUGAACACAGAGACAAUGGAGUGGUACAUUUCUUAACGGUGGGAACAUUGGAUGCUAUUGAAGUGUACUAGAUAGAUUAAAGAAAUAUAAUAAAAUGGUACGUACGAAACCAAGCAUAGAGAAUGUAAAAUAAAAUCAAAGCUAGAUAACGUGACUAAAACUAAAAUGAGAUAUAUGUGUAGAAUAUAAUGCAUGCUAGUUAAAAAUAAUCAACAGUUGUGAUUGUAGAAAUUUCUAUUGUGAGUUUGACUAUAUUUAAAAUUUCAACUCGAUUAGGAUGCCAACUUAUAAAAUUUAAAAGAUGUGCCCAAGUAGUUUUUUAUGUUAAUAUUUCCACUAACACUCGUUCCUAAAAUAAAUUAGCUUUGAGUCGUCUCGAGUUAAACUAUUUUAAAUUUAACCAGCAUUACAUACCGAAGAGUACAAAUGCCUAUGACACCAAAUAAAUGUAAUAUAUUAAAAUAUAUUUUCCUAACGGAUCUAAGCUAAUUUGGUGCCCACAAGCCAUGGGCUGAAAGCUAACUUGGGCUGCAUAUAUAUUUAGGCCGACACAACUGGGCAGAAAGAUUUGGCCCAUGACAUUAUUGGGACAUAUUAGCUCAUGACAUUUUUAGGUCAAACCAUCUAACGAUAUGAAUUUGGUGUCUAUGGCCCAAUAAUGUGCUUCCGCACUGCAUUUGCGGUUCUCUGUUUUCUGUGUCUACUCUGUACUAUGUAUGAAGCUGCACCUUCCUCAUGUCCACUUGUAAAUUUGUAUCCCAAAGGAAACAGAGAAUAGCAGCGACUUUACGCCCAGUUGCUCGUUUAAAAAAUCUGGUGUUGUUUGCCUGCCUUUCUCCAAGACCGGCUCCGCCAAGCUAACCGAAGGGCUUGAUGAUUUGUUACCACCAAGUCUUCACGGAGAAGCACGAAGUACAAGGUUUUUAAAAAUAAAUAAAAGAACUGGUCAUAUCAUAUGUACGAGAUACAAAAUUAAAUGUGUGGCCAAACAACAACUAAAAUGAACUUGGAUCGAGGUGGGUUGUUCGAUCCGCCUCGACCAAUGGGCGCAAAAUUAACCAAAUGGGUGAAUAAUAAGCAUUCGUUCAAAUCAAACAACUAGUGGACAUGGCUUGUAUUUUUAAAAACGGAGACAUUGUAUUUACAUAAUCCAACGGAUGAGCACCACACACUCGCUAUGUGGUAUAGGACGACAAUGAUUAUACAGCACUCUAUAAUGGACAUGUCAGGCUAAAGCUGUUGGAGAGUGGAGAGUGUCAAAAUUAUGUUGGGGCUGUCUCCCUCGACCCUGUUUGAGUCUUAACUCGAUCGCCUGGCCAUCGUGCAAAAGUCUCUAGCUUCGGGCAGCCAUCGCGUUACGCUAGCUUCGGGUAGGAUAAAAACGGGUGUUCGCUCCGGAGCUAAGGGACUAACUAACCGGUCAAGUGACCUCGCUACGCAGAUUACCUGUCUUUUGUGCGCAGAAGGAAAAGUGAAGCACCUCGUCAUAACGGAUGGUCGACAGAGCAAGGGACUGAUGAAGGCACGAAAGGACUCCGCUCGUGAAGCCUCAGCAAAGCCGACUGCGCUGGAGCUUCGGACAACCAAAGCUACCGAGGUGACGCCCGGCUUCGGUGACGAGGUCAAGGCGCCUGAAGACGUGAUCGACAUGAGAGCGUGAUUUCCGGGGCCUUGUUGAGAAUACUCACAUAGUUGUAAUUUUGGGGUGCUAUAGAAAAAUACUUUAUAAUUUAGGCCUCAAAUUAUGCUUUCGCAUAAAGUUUUCUCAUGAGUCCUCUAACUUCAUUUUAGAUAUAAAUUGGUAGUUACGUAUUCAUCCCAUAGACACAUAUACAUUUAGUUCCGUUGUCUUGUCAGUUUGUUUCAUAAUGCAAGUCACUCCAAAAAAACAAAUACUACUUCACUAUAUUCCCUGAAAAGAAAAAUACUACUACUUCACUAUAACAUCAGGUCCACCUGCUCAAAAGCACCUCCAGUUUUUCCUUGUUUGCGCCAACAACCGUGCCCUUAAGUUCUUUCCCCUUUAUGAACAGUUCUUUCCCCUUUAUGAACAGGAAGGUUGGCAGGGCCUUAACACUGAUUUUCACUAAAUCCAACUUUAUUAUAGUCUCAUGAUACUUUAAGUACCACUGCCUGGAGGCUUGUUUUAAUCCAGAAAUAGAUUUCUUCAGACAACAUCCCAUAUGCUCUUUUCCCUUCAUGACAAAACCUUUGGGUUGUGCCAUGUAGACAUUUUCUUUUAGGUCUCCAUUGAAAAAAGUCAUCUUUACAUCCAUUUGAUGUAACUCUAAAUUAUAGUGUGCCACUAAAGACAUUAUGAUUCUAAAAGAAUCCUUAAAUGAGACCGGAGAAAAUGUCUCAUUAUAGUCUAUUCCUUCUCUUUGCAUGAAGCCUUUCGCAACAUGUCGAGCUUUAUAUCUUUCGACAUUCCUUUUGGAGUCACAUUUUGUUUUGUAUACCCAUUUGCAGCCUACUAUCUUGGCUCCUUUAGGAAUUUCUUCUAAAUCCCAAACUUUGUUGCUACUCAUGGAUCUCAUUUCAUCUUUCAUGGCUUCAAACCACUUUGAUGAGUGAGUGCUUCUCAUAGCUUCUUCAAAUGAGAUGGGAUCUCCCUCCAUUUGAACUUCUUCACUAACAUAGACUUCGUAGUCAUCAAGAAUAGCUGGCUUUCUAACUCUUUGAGACCUUCUAGGGGCCUCAACAGCUGGCACAUUUUCUAUGGGGGACUUUGCAGCUCUUCCUCAUGUGUGGCAACGGGUUCUAUAGGAUCCUGAAGGACAGGUCCCUCAUCUUCAUGUGUCGUUGCCACAGGAGAACCAACAACACGUGUUGUCAUCACAGUGUCCUGCAUUGUCGGUGCAGCAGCAAUAGGUACCACAAGAGAACUAACAAUAGGUGUUGUCGACAUAGUGUCAUGCACUAUCGGUGUAGCGGGUAUCGAGAAAAAUGGUUCCUGAACCAUCGGAGUGGGUACAUAUACCUGCUUCUCCUCAAGGUUGAUUUCUCGAGGUACCGUGCUCCCCCUGAUCAUCUUAUCAUCUAGGAACACAGCGUGUCUCGUUUCUACAAACUUAGUAUGUCUGUCAAGAUAGUAGAAACGAUAACCUUUUGACUUCUCAGGGUAGCCAAUGAAAUGGCAACUGACUGUCUUAGGAUCUAAUUUUCCAAUGUUUGGAUUAAAAACUUUAGCCUCAGCUGGACAACCCCACACACGCAAAUAAUUAAGUAAGGGUUCUCGUCCAGUCCAUAACUCAUAUGGUGUUUUAGAUACCGACUUACUAGGGACCCGAUUAAGGAUGUGAAUGGUGGUUUUUAAGGCCUCCAUCCACAAACUAACCAGUAAAGUUGAGUAAAUUAUCAUGCUUCUCACCAUAUCCAUUAAGGUACGGUUACGUCUUUCAACUACUCCAUUCUGCUAAGGCUCGCCCGGGGUAGAGUAUUAGGCAACUAUGUCAUUUUCCUGUAGAAACCUCGCAAAAGGUCCAGGAACUUGGCCAUACGGGGUAUGCCAACCGUAGUACUCCCCUCCACGGUCGGAUAUGACUAUUUUAAUCUUUAAACUAUGCUGAUUUUCUACUUCAGCCUUAAAUAUCUUGAAUUUAUCCAACACUUCUGAAUGCUCUUUAAUUGGAUAAAUGUAACCAUAGCGCGAAUAAUCAUCCGUGAAUGUUAUAAAUGAAUUAUAACCAUCCACAGAUGUCACAAGAAACAGACCAAAAAUGUCCGUGUGAAUUAUUUGUAAAAUUCCUGUGCUUCUUUUGGCGUCUUUCUUGAUUUUCUUAACGAACUUUCCUUUAAUGCAGUUGAGACAUUGCUCUAAAUCUGAAAAUUCUAAGGGCGGAAGAAUUGAUUCUUUAACUAAGUGUUCUAUUCUCCCCCUUAAAAUAUGGCUUUAAUGACAGUGCCAUAAUUUCAAAGAUACGUCAUCAAUUCUUUUCCGCUUAUUCUUUACAUUCAUAGUCGAGGAGGCAUUCCCAUUCUCAGCGCUUAUUUCAUUCAUAUUCUCACAAAGUGAUAAUAAAUAAAGCUCACCUUGUCUAAAGGCAAGACCAACAAUCUUAUUAUUAAACUUAAUUUCACAUUGUCCAUUUCCGAAAUGACAAGCAAAACCAUCAUCAUCUAAGCGCGACACACUUAUUAAGUUUCUACGCAAAGAGGGUACAAAAAGGACAUCUCUCAAAUGAAGUACAAAGCCAUUUGCUGAUUCUAAUGGGAGUUCUCCAAUGGCUUCGACUUCAGCUUGGACGCCAUUUGCAACUUUAAUGUUUCUUUCUCCUCUUUGCAGGAUCCUCCUCGUAUGGAAUCCCUAUAAUGAAUUUGCAACAUGAAUAGUUGCACCUGAGUCAAUCCACCAAGUAGAUUUUUCAUAACUUAAAUACAAGGAUUCAUCUACAAAUGUAAUAAUAUCCUCACCUCUUUUCAUCAGGUGCUUCAAGAAGUCUGGACAAUCCUUCUGGUAGUGUCCCUUCUUCUUGCACCACUUGCAAGUGUCUUUGUGCACCACAUGUUCCUGAUUUGGUCUUUGAUGGUGAUCAUUCAUUGGAGCAUUUCCAUGUGCCUUAGAGGAAGAGGCAUGCCACUGAGGUUUCCCUUGCGGCUUAAUUGUUCUGAAAAUUUCUCUUCUUGUUGUGGCUUAGGUAGUUUAUAGUGUCACCAGAUGAGCCCUUAAUCCUUUCUUCCUCUUGUACGCACAUAGCUAUCAUCUUCUCAAUGCCUCAUUUUUCUGGCUAUGUGUCAUAAGUCAUAGCAAAGGUCUCAAAUUCUUUAGGCAAUGAGGUAAAGAUCAAAUGAACUAUAAAUACUUCUGGAAGCUCCAUCUCCAUAGACUUUAGCUUGGAAGCCAUAUUGCUCAUUCGCAAUAUGUGAUCCCUUAUGCUGCCGCCAGUAUACUUCAUAGUGACAAGCUUCCUUAUGAGUGAGCUUGCAUAUACUUUGGAAGAGCCGUAAACUGACUCUCCACCUUUGUCAGGUACUCCCUGGCGGUCUGACAUUCUAGGAUCGCUCCCGUAAUUGCUUCUGUGAUGGAGCUUUUGAUCACCAUCAGGCACUUUCUGUUUGAUCCGUCCCACUUCGCACGAUCAAGAUCGUACUUCAUUCUUAUUGGUGCAUGAUCAUGCACCCUUUCAUUGAAAUCAUCCUCACUUUCAUUUUCGGCCCUCACGGGUCCUCAGGUUCUAUGGGACAGGGAGCAAUCAGUGCCAAAUCAAUAUUGGACAGUGCAAGCGCUAUCUCGACCUCCUCUUACCACGAGCCGUAGUUUCCUCCUGUGAGGCGCUCGAUGGACGAGAUAAAGCUCAUAGGAUUGUCUGAAAAAAAAAUUCAGAAAAAAGGAGUUAAUUUAACGUUGGUCAAAUUAAAACACAAGACUUCUCAAUAUCAAUUCUACAUCACCGUUGGGCACAAAUAGAAUUAUUAAUGAUAAAACAUCACUUAUAGUACAACAAUAUUAUCAACAACGUUGGUCAGCAGAUAAAAUUAUCAUACUCAGAAAAAAUACUUAUUUUCUAAUUACAUUUUCUGGUUGGUUCCAAUUUAAUUAGAGAAAUAGACUAGAAACUUGAACUUAAUGCAUAAAAUUGGCAAAAUAAAGCCAAAAAUUCAACUUAACUCAAUUUUAAUACAGUGGAAGCUUAAACAUAAUUUUGGGAUUUUACCCACAGGAAAAGUCCUUAAACUUAUUUUAUUUGAGCCACUAAAACAUUUCCAGAAAAUAUAGAAUAUUCGCUGGAAAAAGAAAAGCGAAACCAGGCUCAUUCUUUCUUUUCCUUCCGCCCGCACGAGGAAAAUGGCCCGCGACGGCCUACCGAGCUCAGCUUCGCUCUUUAGCAAAAACUGCAGCCUAGUCUUCCCUUCUCCCUCUUGGGCUGAAAUUUGCCCAGCCGCAAAAUUGGCCCGCCAGCGGCCUGCUGUUGCCAGCUCUGCCGUCCAGCAAAACGCACCGGCCAACCAGAUGGACCAGCCCGGCCCAAAAGGAAAUGCGGCCCGGCCUGUGCAUGCGCUCGACUCACUCGCUGGCUUGGCUCGCUCGGCUCGCGGCUUGGCAGGCUACAACCUGGGCCCGGGGCGUCGAAGCGGCCUACUUCCCGUUCCCGCCUGGGCCGAAUCUGGCCUGGACGAUUUCAGCCAUCCAUUCAAGAUCGAUGGCUACGCGUGAUUUUCGCUGGAUCCAAACUGAGCGAGUGGCCGGCCCUGCAAACCCUAGCAGCAUUUCUGCUCCUCCCUCGCGCAGCCGUGAGUAACGGCCGAGAGCGCCGGCCUGCGAGCGCCGGUAAGCAGAGAGACCCUCGGCUUCCCCCAGUCCCCCUUGCCGGCGCACGCAUCCACCCGAGGGUGAGCGCGGCGCCGUCGAGCGGUGCUGCGGGUUCGCCGCGUCUUCCCGGUAGUGAGCGGACGGCAACAAGGUGAGCAAGAGGUAAGCUGCCGCCUCCCUGAGCUCUUAGUCUGCCGGCGGCCGUCGGUAAAUCCGGCGGGCGCCAUGUCUCCUUUUUUUUUUUGAUCUUUCUCUCUUCCCGGAGACAGAUCCGGUGGAUACUUUCCUUUCGAUUCUUCAUCUCCUUCUAAUUGCUAACCCCGACUAGAUCUACAACCUAGAAAGGCGACUGAUACCAUUGAUAGGAUUAACAGGAUCAUCUAGGUGCUAGUCUAGCGGGUAAAACAUGACUUAGGUAAACCAACAUGAUUCGUGGAUCUACACCGAGGCAUACUAGAGAUGGAGAGGGAGAGAGACCGACCGUCGGGCUUUGUUGACGAGAUGGCCAUGGUGUGUAGACGAUGUUGACGAAGAGGGCGGCUGCGGCCGCGCGGAGUUGGCGAAGCUUCCCGCCGCUAACAGCCCCUCCACUAGAUUGGCUAGGGUUUCUGUGUCGGUGGGGUUGUGGACACGGUGAACGUUGGCUCGUGUGCCCCGACUCCCACGUCCUUUUAUGUGGUGCUGCGGGAUGGGGGCCACCAACCAUAUAUGGAUUCUCCUAUAAAUCCGGUGGAGAUCAAUCCUAACGUCACCAAGUAUCCCCUGUAAAUCCUAUAUGGUUCGACAGAUUUGGUCAGUCUCAUAGCUGAUAGUCUUUCAGCUUCCGCAUAGCUGAUAUACACAUGUUCGUGCACAAGUGCACCUUGUUCAGUACGACAUUUCUCAGCUAUACUCCUGACCCGGGUCGUCAUGAUUAAUUUACAGCCCAGAUUAUUCUUAGGAAGAGCCUUACGGAUGACUUCCCAUUCUUCCCAGUGCCAAAUGUCAUCAAUUAUGACCAGGUACCUACGGAAAAAAAAACAAGACCAAAGAAACUUUUAACAUUUGGGCCAUCUUAUCCCAUGUUACUAUUACUAAUUGAUUGGAAUGUUCAUACUCACAUGGCCAACUAAGAAAAACAGAUCAUUGCGUUUUUUAUCUUUCUAUAAGCGGGCCUUAGACAGAAGACCAGGGCCAGGCCCGCUUAAUGUAUGUAGUUGUGUACAGAUGAGCUGAAGAUGGAAAACACUGAACAAAGUGACGGCAGCACAAGGACUUGCGUUUUUUUAUCUCCUGAGUGCCCGGUUGAAGCCGAAACGAAUUCGAUCUGGUCUCAGGCUCCAGCGCACGAGAUACAAAUCCGAGAAGAGAACUAAUCCGAGACGGGAGCUCAGCUCUGUCCCAUUCCAUGUCAAGGCAGAGUGCUCUGCAUCAGCAUCUGCACCACCAUUUUCCCUUCCACUCCUGAUGAGUGCAGUGCAGGAUGCUAGGUGUAAUCCGGUCAUGCUUUCCUCGAUCGAGGAGCGCCAUCUUGCAAAUCGAAUAAUCGAUAGACCCAUUCCGAUUAACCAAAGUGCUUAAUUAUCUGAUUGCGACAUGUGGAAUAAUUGCGCUGUCUUUUUUUAUUAUAGAUUAGUCUUUUACCAAGGUGCAACGUACUAGCUUGCUUAUAUGGAUCAGUACACAGUAUUUUGAUGACGAGGUAAAUAUGCAAAACAGAAAAGCACAGACGCUGGUGCAGAGAGAGUUUCAUUCUUGGAUUGGCGGGCGGCCCUGUUCACUCAGGUGGAGAUGGCCAGGCCCAGGCCCACUUCAUAGGAGAACUUAUUUUGACCCAUUUCAACUCCUCGUCUCAUCGGCAGCAUCCAUCCAAUCCCUCCAACAGAGAGAGGAUUCGCACAUUGCGCUCAUGCCUAGAGCAGGACCAAACAUAAGGGAUUUUUUUAAUUUUAACCUUUUUAAUAAUAUUUAAAACAACCCUCCAGAUAAAUGUUUCCAUCCCGUGGCGCUUUUGAUCGCGUCGUUCCACGUGUCAGAGCAAGAUAACAUUAUCACGCAACAUGCAUUGGGAGGCCUGAUUCCAAUGUCCUCAUACAGCUCAGGAUGGGUCAAUGGAAACUCAACGGCCUCUUUAAUUUCUUGAAUCUGAGCGUCUAACCCACCAAUGUCAGCAUAAGACUCCAGAGGAGCUUUCUCCACUUACAUCACAGAUACCAUAGGAUCAACUUCAGCUUGCAGUAUCCCAACCACAGACAGAACCUGAAGAAGCAAAGGCACGUUUGAUUGAGUUAGCAGUUAGUUGUAAAGGAUCCACGCACUAAUGCAUGUGCACACAAAAACGAUUAUUAUCCAUGGAAAGCACCCGGUGAGCACAUCAAGUGUGUAAGGAAAAAGUCUAGGACAACUGCUAGAGGCUACAAAGGACUCUAAAAUGAAUAUUCCCUCCGUUCCAAAUUGUAGGUCGUUUUAGCAUUUCUAGGUACAUAACUUUUACUAUGCAUAUAAUUUGGUCUAGAUGCAUAAUAAUAUCUAUGAAUCUAGAAAAGUUAAAACGACCUGCAAUUUGGAACGGAGGGAGUACAUGUAUAAUGGUUGAAAAUGAAAGGCAGUGCAGCCUUGGCAUAGCAUACAGAAUCAAUCACCACUCCGGGAACUGAAACAUAUGAAUCUGAACAGUCAGCAGAACCUAGUUAAGUGCUAACCCUUAGUUGGUCAUCCUUGAUUCGAGAAACAACCUCUAAACCCUAACCACCUUAAUUUAUCAGGUACAGUAUUAGACAAAUCGCUAAAACAACAAGGUUUUGAUACAUUAGCCCAACUCCUCAGUAGAAACCACCAAUCCGCAGGGCCUAGUUUUCUGAUGAAUCUCAGUUCCAUGGUCCGCUUAUAGUCUAUGUUGGAACCUUGAUUAACUGGACAAUAGACGAGAGCCUAAAGUUCCCCGUCCAUUCUACAAAAAUUCCCCCAACCUAACAACAAUUAACCCCAGAGGUACAGAUACUUAAAUCGCCUUCAAAAAUCCAACCUCUCCCAAACUAGCAGGGAUCAGUUUAGUAGAUCGGGGAUACUUAGAUCGAGGAGGUUAAGGGGACCUGUAGUAGUAGAUCCGCUCGUGCCUAUAGUAGAUUAAGUAGCGGGUUGGGGAAAAAAAGAGAAAGCGAACCUUGUUGUGCAUGGGGAUGCUCUGGCUCGAGCUGCUCCUUGUCGACGAACGGAGCUUGUCCUCGCGCACCCUUGCUCACUGCUGCAGCUCCUGCUCCGCGCCUGCGCCGGCUGCCUGGGCCUGCACGGCUCCGCUCGGGCAGCGUCCAAGGAAGGGCAGCGGCAGAGAACUUUUUCUCCUUUAACCUCCUGCCUUCCCUCCUUUUUCCAUCCGAGUCCCCCUCUCUUCAGAAUUUGAACUGCGGGUUGAUUAUCACAAAUUUAAGGGCUUUUUUUUUUGCAAAAUGACAAUGACGGUUGGAAGAAAUAUCCUCUCUUUAAUAAUAGGUAUAGAUAAGAGGCAAGGACGGCAUACCGUCUGCUCUAGUGCUUUGACCGGUCCGCAGCGGCAGUGGCGGCGCCGGGGAUAGCAGCCAGUUGAGCUUGGCGGUGCCGGUGAGGGCACGCAUGGCGACCAGAGGCACCUCUGCUGCCUGAUUCGAUCGCCUCUGUGCCCAUGGAGGCAUCGAGCAGUGGAUGGGCAGAUGAAAAAACUGUUCCCCUAUGUGGGGGCAUAUUGUUUAGAUGGGCCGGCCCAACGUGGGCGCCCACCACAAGUAGAUUUAUUAUUGAAAGGAAUCAGUGCUCGUAACCUAAGAGGGGAGGGGGUGAAUUAGGCAACUUAAUACCUUAACUGCUUCCACUACAUUGCAUCAAAACAUAGACUGGAGCACGUUAUCUAGAUGUGCAAGCUACGGUUGAUCUAGCAUGAGAUGCUCAUCCUAAAACAAGUUUUGCAACCUAUAGCCAAUCCUAUCAAGAUAUUACUCUUGUAAAGUAAAGGCACACAAGUUGCAAGUAUGAAAUGCGGAAACGUAAGGAGGGGAUGAGAGAAAGAAAACUCUUGACACAAUGAUUUAUCCCGUGAUAUCGGUACGCACUAAGCUACCAUUAAUCUACGUUGUUGAAGCACUCACACAAGAGUAUUAUUUUCCGAUCACCAAGUUCCUCCCAAGGUACCCCUUGUCUUGCCACAAAGGCUCACGCCAAGUGCCUCGGUCACCUUGAUGCCAUCUCCACUAAAGAGCUUCUCCACAAAGGAAGGGGGUCUCCCUGUCCGCCGCACAAGGUCGUCGACACCGCUCCACACCAAGUUGGAGGGUCAAAGACUUGCCGGCGAGCUACCAAAGCUCCAAGGAACCUGUACACCUCUUGUACAGGGAGAAGAGAACUAAUCCGAGACGGGAGCUCAGCUCUCUCCCAUUCCAUGUCAAGGCAGAGUGCUCUGCAUCAGCAUCUGCACCACCAUUUUCCCUUCCACUCGUGAUGAUUGCAGUGCAGGAUGCUAGGUAUAAUCCGGUCAUGCUUUCCUCGAGGAGCGCCAUCUUUCAAAUCGAAUAAUCGAUAGACCCACUCCGAUUAACCAAAGUGCUUAAUUAUCUGAUUGCGCUGUCUUUUUUUAUUAGAUUAGUAUUUCAGGUGCAACGUACUAGCUUGCUUAUAUGGAUCAGUACACAGUACUUUGAUGAGGUAAAUAUGCAAAACAGAAAAGCAUAAACGCGGCCGCACGCGUCAUCUUCUUCUGCGACCCCAUGCGGAGAGAGUUUCAUUCUUAGACUGGCACGCGGCCCUGUUCACUCAGACGGAGAUGGCCAGGCCCAGGCCCAGGCCCGCUUCAUAGGAUAACUUAUUUUGGCCUGUUUCAACUCCUUAUCUCAUCCAAUCCCUCCAACAACAGAUAGGAUUCGCACAUUGCAGCCAUGCCUAGAGCAAAACCAAACAUAAGCCAUUUUUUAAUUUUAACAUUUUUAAUAAUAUUUUCAUCCCGUGACACUUUUGAUCGUGUCAGUCCGUGUGUCACAACAAGAUAACACUAUCACGCAAUAUGCAUUGGUGUGAUGAGCCUGCCAUGCUGACAAGGGGAGAUGACAUGAACUCCUCUUGUCACGCCAACACAUGCGGCACAAGAACAUGAUUCUGCCACGCCAACUUGCCUCGGUGAUGAGUGGCAUGUACAAUUCAAUUUAUCCAAUUUGACCAUCUAAAUAAAAUAGUAUUUCAACAUUAAAUUCUACGAAACUCGGCAUGCACGGUGCAUACGGUGCGGACGUUCCAUUUUAGUAACAUGCGCAAUGCAAGUGCAUUAUAUUUUGAAAUUUUUAAUUUCAAAGUAGGCUUAUAUCCCGCUUAGGGUUCUAGUUAAAUAUACCUACUUGGGAGCAUCUCAAUAAAAUAGCGUUUGAACUUUGAAUGUCAAGCACACUAUAUAAGGUAUAGUGUAAAGGUCCCAUUUUACUAAUAUUUACAAGAUCAAGUGCUACAUAUUUGGAAAUACAUAAUUUAAAUGUAAGUUAUUUAUUGUCCCUCUAUCCCUCUUAGAACAGCUUCCAAGUGUUAAAUAAAUUCACUUCGGUUUUUUCUUUCCUUAGUUUAUUACUUAAUGAGCUUUAAAUAUUCUAAAACUCUAUUUAAUACGGAAGCAAAUAAUUAACAGAACUGGAUUACUAGCGUGAAUCAUACUCAUAUGGCAACUUUUAUCUGAAAAAAUGUUGGAAUGAUUGGAUGGAUUAGUUGCUAGGAAUGUUCAGUGUGCGCAUGCAUGGUGCAAGCUUGGACUGCAUGUGACGAAGAGAAACUAAACUGGAAAAAUAAUCAUAAUCAAGUGUGCGUACAGAUAAUGUCACAUAGAGUCAUGGAGAAGGAAGGCCCGACUUUGAUAAAAAGUUAUAGUAGUGCUCUGUUACCGCCAAUCGUUGUACCCUGAUUUCAAGAUUGCGUUUCCUUUCUUGAAUUUCCUUUUCAAUUCCAGCCCUUGCGUUGUUUUUGUCCCGCUGAGCUCGCCCCUCUGCUGCCGUCGAUAGUCGAAGACGUUCCUCAAUGCGUUUUUGUUUCCGCUUUUUCUCAACUUCUUUUUCCCUUUUCUCAAUUUCUUUUUCCCAUUCUUCAAAUUCACCGCUGCGGAAAACCUUACAUUCCAUGUUAUUGACCCAAAGGGUGAUCAUGUUGGGGUGCUCCGCGACUUCAUUUCUCAGUACAUCAAUUGCCUCGCGGAUGCCCGGACUGUCACUUCUAUAGUACCCGGAGCAUCGGAACACGACCUUCUCAAGACUGUCGAGAUGCUUGAUGCCCAUGUAGUAGUCUUGACUUACUGUGCCUGUGUAGAACUUGAACUCAAGAUGUUUCAGCUUCGGCAUCGCUCCUUCCCCGAAGGUGAUCACCCGUGGCAGACGGCAAUCAACGUAGAACGUCUCUAGCUUUGAGAACCCUCCAUCAGUGAUGGCAACCGGCUCCCGUGGGAGGACCUCGAACCUGAGUUGGAGAGCCUGCAGGUUGGGCAUCUGCGUCUUCAGAAACUCGAGGUCUUCGUGCACCAGUUUGCAGAGCCUGAUAUCUAAGGAGCAGACAUUGCACAAGUCUUGCUUGACCCACUGCGGGACUUUCAUGUGUCUCCCGGCAACUCUAAGCAUCCGAACUGGUAGGACUUCACACUUCGAGCCGAAAUGGUUAAAGAGGAUGAGGAUGGAUAGGUCAUCCCUUUGCGACAUAAUAACAUCUUCACAACCACUUUGCAACAUCAACUUCUCCACUUGAACAGAUAACCUAUUUAUGUUUGUAUCAACAACCACACUUAAUAACGGAUUCGGGUCUUUACUGCAGGAUAUCUCUCGUACCUUAGAACCACUUAUGUCCAGAGUCCUCAGAUGCUGCAGUUUCCCGAUUUCCUUGGGCAACUCUGUCACCGGUGUCCAGCUUACAUUCAGAGUCUUCAAAGAUUGCAAUUUCUCGAUCCACGUAGGCAGCUCCGUGACCUCUGUGCCACUUACAUCCAGAGUCUCCAAGCGCUCAAGGUUCUUGAUUUCCCUUGGUAGCUCCUUGACCUUUGUGUACUGUACAUACAGAUUCUUCAAAGAUUGCAAUUUCUCGAUACACGUAGGCAGCUCCGUGACAUUUGUGCAACCUACAUCCAGAGUCUUCAAAGAUUGCAAUUUCUCGAUCCACGUAGGCAGCUCCGUGACCUUUGUGCCACAUACAUUCAGAGUCUCUAAGUGCUGCAGUUUCCCAAUUUCCG